CAUUAAAGAAUAUGGGGUCCAUGUGAUCGCAGGGAAGUCAGAUUCAUUUGAAGAGUCGGCAGUGGGAAGAGAUGCAGUGAUGCCUUCACCACCGCUGUAUCAUCUGCUUCCUCAUCCCCAUUGUGGUUCGAUUACAGCGUCUACACCUAAGCAAUGGAGUGACUAUUUAUCUGCGAAGCUAGAAGGACAUAGCCUCGAUUUAAGACUUGAUGGUGAGAACAAAUAUUUCAUUUAGUUAUUUUUAUUCUAUUAUAUUUAAUUUAUGAGAUUAAAUAUUAUCUUUAAUGAUUUUAUUAUUAUUAUUUAAUCUAAAAAAUUAAAUAUCAUCUUUAAUAAAAAAAUAUUAAAUAUUUAAGGCUUUUUGGUAAGAAUACAUAUUUCCUUUAGUUAUUUCUAUUUUAUUCUAUUUAAUUUAAGAGAUUAAAUAUCAUCUUUAAUUCUUACAUUUUUCUUAUUUAAUCUAAAAAAUUAAAUAUUAUCUUUAACAAUAUUUUUUAUUAAAUAUUUAGAGUUUGCUUGGUUUUAUUUCUUUUCUUGAUUUUAUAAUAAUAUUUUUCUUAUUUAAUAUAAAAAAUAAAUAUUAUCUUUAACAAUUAGAUCUAUCGAAUAUCACUUAAAAAUAAAUUAUAACUUUAAUAAUUAUUUUUUGAAAAACAAAAGGCCAACAAUCACUAACAUAUUUUAUUAAAAUCACUUUAGUUUAUAUAGAAAAUAUUGAAAACUGAUUUUUGUUUUUUUACAUUAAAAUAAAAAAUUGAAUAAUGUUUUUAUAUUUUAUUUCAAACUCGAUAUUUUAAAACAAAAAUGAAAAAGAUGUGAUAUUAACAUUUUUUAUUAUAAAGUAAGUUUUUUAAUUAAAAGUGAUGGGAAUUUGUUUUUAUUGCAUGUACAAUCAUGCACAUUUAACUUUCUUUUUAAAUUUGAUGGUUUUUUAGGACGGAAAUGGCUUGAAGGUGGUGAAGGCUUUGAUUGACAUGAGAGUACAAGAUUAGUUUACAUAGAGAUGCUUGAAGUUGCUCCAAAUCAGUACGAUACUUUCAUCUGACAUGUUGAUAUGUAUUUGUUGGCUUGAAGAUUAUUUUCCAAGCUUGGAAGUUUUAUUGAAUUCUCUUUGAAAUCUUUUCCAUCCGCUGGACAACUUAUAUUAUUAUGCAUGAUGUAAUUUAUAUUUUCAAGUUACAAAUUUUGAUGAAUAUUGUUUCAUUUUUUUCCUCAUUUCAAAAGAUGAAAAUCCUUGAUCUUAGUUAGAAAUAAAUUGGUUUUCUAGGAAGAGAUUAUUGAUUGGAAUAUAGUAUUUGAAUUGGUUCUUCAUCAUUUACUGUUAUAUAUAAUUUAAAAUAAUUGAUGAAAAUACAUAGAAAAGUUUUGAGAGCAUCCUUAAUUAGUCUAGUAAGUAAAGUGUUGUUAGUUUUGACUAUAAGAUCUUGCUAUGUAUUAUUGCAUGGUUUUUACUAUUUUUUUGCAUUUCUUCUUUUUGUAUAUACAACUUUUGUUUUUCUUGCCGCUUGUCAUUAGCUUUAUGGCACCAACACCAAUUAAUAAUAAAUCUUGAACUAUUAUUAAAUAAAGAAAAAAUAUAAAUAUCGUUAAAAUACCAAACUUGAAUUGCUCAAUCCUAAAGAAACCCUAUGACAAUAAUCUAAUUUAGAAAAUAAUUAAUUUAUCCUUGUAGUCUAAGAAAAUAGUAUUUAAUUCUUAUGUUUUCAUAUACAUCUAUGAUUUAAUAUGUUGAUUGAAAUUGGCAAGUGAGUUUACUCACGUAUUGUUAUAUUGGUUUUGAGUUCAAAUAAAUGUUUAAAAAGGGAGUUUUUUCAUGAAUGUAACCCUUCAAUAUAUGAAUGUUUAAAAUUGUAUUCAAUAUGAAUGAUGGAUGAUUUUGCUAAGAAUUGGUUGGUAAAAAACUUAAUUUCGAUAUAUAAAAACUUAAGAGACAACAAUAAAUAGAGAGACUAGUAAAGAUUUUAUGUGCUUUCUUGUUUUUUUUUUUUAAUUGGAUUACCUUUGUCUUUUGUUUCAAGUAAAAUUCUAGUAUAUAUCACUAAAUUAAGAAUUAAAGGUCUAAUUAUAUGAAACACAAUUUUAAAGACUACAUCAACUACAUUUCAUAUGCUCAACUCUAAGCAAAUUGAAAUUUCAAGGCCAUUUGUAUCUUGAAAACACAAUCUCAAUAAUCUUAAUAUUGAAUUAUUAUUUGUUGAGUUGGAAAAUAGCACUAAGGAACACAAAAGCCGUACUGUUUAUCUUCUUGGCAUUGUUCAAAGGAACGCAAAAAGAUACUCCAAUUGUGAAAGAUUAUUAUUGUCAUAAAGUAAAACUUUCAAUAUAGAGAGUGAAAUAAAGAGCAAGAGCAAAAAAAUAAUUCGUGUGUGUAUUAGCUAAAUGAAAUGAAGAUUAGAGUAAAAAGGAUAAAAAAAAAAAAAAAAAAUAGAGAGAGAGACUCGUUAAGAUUUUAUGUUGGUGCUCAACAUGUUCUUUCUUAUUUUUUUUUUUUUUUUAAUUUUAUCUUAACGAGUGAAAUAAAGAAACACUCCCCCCAUCUUUCUUGUUCCCUUUCCCUUCUUUACAUGGCUUACUCAGUGAAAAAGCAAUUAAACACCCCAUUUGAUUUUCAAUCAGUAUGAGAGUGAGAGAGAGAGAGGCCAAGGUGGUCCUUGAAUAUUUUCUUCUUUUUUGUCUCGCUCACUGGGGCAAACCAUUUUUUCCAAAAUUUUGAAUAGCAUGCGAUCAAAAAGAAUUUUGAAUAGCAUGCCAUCAAAAGGAAUUUUGUUCAAUCCCAAUCCCACAUUGUCUGUAGAAGUAUUUACUUUUGACUGUACACUUUGUUAUUUUCCAAUCCCUCCCCAGUUCUGCAACCAUUUCUCUACUUUCUAUGCUCUUGGCUUGCUAAAAACUAAAGAAAACACAUUGCUCUACUUGCCUGCCUUCACUCUUCAGAUUGCUCAACAAAUCCCUUGAGACCUUCUCCAUAGUUAACACAUCACAUAAUGGCUACUCUAAAAAAUUUAGCCAUAAACAUUGAACACCUUGAGCAAUCAACGUGCCUUCCUUCACAAUAUCCAUCACCCAUAAAUCUUUCUUUUGGGAUGUCGCCGGGAGUUUAAUUUCCGUGUAAAAAUUAUGUAUAAAUUUCCAUUCUUUCCUUCCAUCCAUUACUUGUCCUCUAUGAAGAUUCUAUGUAUGAAAUCUCGGAAUCUUUUCGAGUAUAACUUGGGAUCAACAGCUGAGAUAGACGUGGGAUCCACUUCUAAGGACUUGUAUGCAUGCUCUAGCUUUUUGCUGAUAUCAUAAUCCUAGAGAUACCAAAGUGAAGAACUACAUCUCACAAUCACCAAAAUUCAAAGUAAAGUAACGGAGAAGAAAAUCUGAUAACAAUGAAUGAUCACUCAUUAACCACAGCGAAUCUUACGCUUUGAAAACACUUUUCACCAUCAAUUUUCCUUUUCUCAUUGAUUUUAAAUCUUCCAGGCAGAUAAAAUAGCAUUGGUUUUAUUCAUCAGCUUAGGCAUCAACAACAUGUUGCAUCCACAAUCUUACUACUACAUUAUAAUUAUAAACAAAGCUAAAAAAAUAUAUAUAUGAGGACAGAGUUAACAGACAUGCACUAAGAGUUAACAGACAUGCACUAACACACACUGUGCAAAUCAGUGUACAGCUGUUAUAACAAACAAGUGUACAAUCUGUUUUCUCCAACCUUCCAGCAUUAUUCUCCCGAGCAUAUUCUGUCAGCUCAAGAUUAGGCAAUUCUGUUAACCAUUCUGUUAGCUCUGUUCUCUUUUGUUGUAUAUAUACUUGAUUGAUUGAUUGAUUCAAUAACAUUAUCUUUCUCUCUUCUCACCUGCCCCCUUUUUCUUCUCCUUUUACCUCUAGCUUCCAAUGCCUAUCAACACCACCAUCCUUAACACAAAUGAAUCUCACAGCAUGUUGAUUACCAUCAAUGUAGCAGCCCAAACUCCAUUAAAACUUAUCUCCACCAGGCACCAACUAUCUAGCCUGGAAACUUUGUUGGGGAUUCCGGCUCCCCCAUGCGCGGACCGGGGGUGUACUGAUAGUUGCUCAACGGAGGGUAAAGCACACUGAUACAAUAUUUUACGUGGUUCGGCAAAACCGCCUACAUCCACGGGAGAGUCCAUAUUAUUAGAGAUAUAUAGAGAAAGGAUUACAACAUACAUGGAGGAGGAGGAUCACUUCACUCAAACUCAAUUCCCAGCUCUUUUGCUACACUUACAGCUGCUGCAAUGGCAGCAGCCAUUGCAGCUCUCUCUUUCUCUCCACUCUCUUGCACACACUCACGUUCUCUCUCUCUCAUUUUUCUCUCAAAUAUAAGCCUCCUUUAUAGGCAUUUCAUGGUCAACAUGGAGGGGCCAAUAGCCUUAAAGCAUGGCAUGAAUUGUGGCACAAUUCAUGCUUCCACUUGCUUAGUGGUGGGGUAUUGCCACAAAUGGCAAUAUCCUAACAAUCACCCCCUUUGCCAUUUGUGUGGGCAAUUGUCCUCUUGCUUCUUCAGCACAGGCUUGCAUCUUGCAGCUCUUCCAAGCUUACCAUUCUGAGAGCGUCUUCAACACAACAUUCCCUUUCGAGUGUAUCAAUCAUGCUCGGUCCGGAAUGAUUUUUCAAGCCUUACACCAAGGCUUACAACACCCCCUCAAAUAGAUAUUUCUAAGUGCGACAGUCAUUUAGUAUUUCAAUGUGAUCACAAGCUCACCACUCUUCCAAGAGUCUACUCAUCCAAGAGUUGUGCCUGCCCUCUGUUCCACCCUAGGAACCACGUCUUACUUCUCCGUGAGUCUCUCGCUCUUAGUCGUAAGAGUCCAGGUAGCUCUCCACCUUUAACCAUAGGGGCAGCCCAUUAAAGGUUGAUUCAUAUCUGUCUUCAUACUCUGAGUAUUACAAUGCCAUUACCGAGCUCACCACCUUAACAAGAGUCAACUCGUUCUCGGAACCUGCGCAUGCCCUUCUGCUUCUUCAUAGCAGCCGCGUCUUAAUGCUCCACAAGUCACACACUUAUUGUCCAAGGCAAAUGUCUUCUAGCUCAUUGAUCUUUAGCAUGGGGGCAAUAUCCAUGAAAGUCAAUCCUGCAUUUGUCUCCAUACUCAUCAUAGCCACUUCAUUGGCUAUCUAUACACUUGUCCACUUGUAUCUAGCCAUCACAUCGGCUUUGGAGCGUUCUGAACUGGGCUCAUAUCAUGGCCCUCACACCUUCUCCUCAGGUGUCUCCGCUCGUCAUCAUGCGACGGUCUGAACUGGGGCUCCUCUCAUAGCCCUCACACCUUCUCUACGGUGUCUUCGCCCGUUGUCAUGGGGCGGUCGCAUCCUUCUUCAGCUGGGAUGCUUCAAAGUGGCUCCAAAAUUCUCUACCACCAUGUGCACUAUGGGAGAGAUUAUAACCACUGAUUACAUAGAAAGAGAAACUUGCGGUAUACUCCUCGCAAUCCUCCACCUCGAUUUCUAUGUUUGGAGCUUUUGUGUCUUUCUACUUGAUAGCUCCACCUACACCAACUCUCUUUGGUGUCUUCGCCUUUCAUCAUAGGCGGUCGCCUUUUAUCACAGGCGUUUGCACCCCCUCAAUUAGGUGCUUCUACAACAGCUCUCUUUCCAUCCUUGCAUGCAUUGGAAAGGUCUUCGCCUGUUGUCUUCAUCAAGAGCAUAAGAGACUUCCUGUUGUACAAACUUUAACAGUCUCUGCUCUGAGCUUCAUCUGGGAACACUUCUUCUCCUUGCACCUAUUGUCUCAUUACAGUACCUCGUUGGAUCCUACGGGUACUCCUGCACAAUCUCCGUGUGCCCUCGUGCAAUUUCUGUUCUCCAGAUUUCUCCCUAUUUCUUGCUUAUGUUUGACAGCAGCUCAUCCUGUCACAACACCUGUCCAAGUCAAAAAUAUGGUGCCAAUCUUUAUCCCCUUGCUGUAUUCCUCUUCCAUUAUCAGGGUCUUCAUCAGUUCUCCCCUCGAGAAAUCACAGUCACCGAAUCUAACUUCUUUGGAGAAAUCACCACUCCAUCAGAUCCUUGAACCUUUGGAACCCAACUAUUCCCUUGUGCCGUCAUCCUGCUAGCCUUCAACUGUUUCAUUACAAACUGCUAUAUAUACAAAAAUAGUACCGUAUGGAUAAUCCUUCCACUAAGCAAGUUCCCAGGAAAGAUUGGAGGGGUCACACUGGUCCCGCUUAAAACCCAAUCUCCUAGACAGAACUUCUUAGGACAUAUCUAUCCAUCGUACUGUCUUUUUGUAUAUACAACCAUUUGCUAGCUUUGUUGCGGCUUUCCUUUACAAGUGAUCUGGGGUAUCCCGAUUUUAUACCUGAUUUCUCAACAUCUGGCGAGACUACCAGUUCUUAGAUUCGUCAAGAUUGGUCUUUAUCAAUUUUCACUCUACACCUCUAAUUGUCCACUUGAUCGGGUGUCUAGAGUGUCCCAAUUUUGCCUUCCCUCAAGGCAGUUAAAUUUCUCCCAACUUAGCAGCUCAGCACAUGUAAUUGGGUAAACAUGUGCACCUUCUUCUUCUUCUCUUCAACGACCACCAUGAUAACCUUCAGAUGCCUCCUGAUCGGGCAAUCUCUUUUGUUAAUUCAUCACUACCACUUUCGGUCUCAAAUCUCAACGAUCGGACCAUACCAUUGCAUCCGAAACGAUCAAAUUAGCUGGAAACAAGUCUGAAAUCGUCCAAAUCGCACUUCAGACGGCUAAGAUUUGAUCAAAACAAUUCUGGCCUGAUCAAUGGCUCAGAUUCAAUCUCAGAUCCGGUUGCACGUAGGAUCAGCUACACUGGAUCCUGUCCCUCGGCUCGCGGCUCGGCUCCAAUUAGGCUCGGCUCGGCUUGGCUCGGCUCGUGGCUAAUGACGUGGUUGGUGGGUCCCACUUUGCUGACGUGUCAGUGACUGUACGCUGACAUGGCAUGCCAACUGUGCAUGCUGACAUCACACUUACAUCAGGCUGAUGUCAUCCCUGGCAUGCCUACUAUGCAUGUUGACAUCACAAUUAUGUCAUACUGACGUCAUUCAUAUCCGGGUCAGCCAUGUGGGUCGGGUCAACUGGUAUUUGGGUCGGGUCAGCCCAUCCGGGCGAAGAAGACGCGUGGGGUGCGUCUGCGCGCGUGGGCAGACGCCUUGCCGGAGAGUGAUGGAGAGUACGGCCAUGUCCGACGUCCGAUUUUGACGCCGUUUUCACCAGUGGCUUCGUCUCGGCCUCCUCUACACGGUGGUAUAGUCAAAACACCAUUUUGAGAACUUUCAUUUUUGAGCAAAAAUCAAACACCCCUUUAAACCAUGUGCUCUGAUACCAGUUGUUGGGGAUUCCGGCUCCCCCAUGCGCGGACCGGGGGUGUACUGAUAGUUGCUCAACGGAGGGUAAAGCACACUGAUACAAUAUUUUACGUGGUUCGGCAAAACCGCCUACAUCCACGGGAGAGUCCAUAUUAUUAGAGAUAUAUAGAGAAAGGAUUACAACAUACAUGGAGGAGGAGGAUCACUUCACUCAAACUCAAUUCCCAGCUCUUUUGCUACACUUACAGCUGCUGCAAUGGCAGCAGCCAUUGCAGCUCUCUCUUUCUCUCCACUCUCUUGCACACACUCACGUUCUCUCUCUCUCAUUUUUCUCUCAAAUAUAAGCCUCCUUUAUAGGCAUUUCAUGGUCAACAUGGAGGGGCCAAUAGCCUUAAAGCAUGGCAUGAAUUGUGGCACAAUUCAUGCUUCCACUUGCUUAGUGGUGGGGUAUUGCCACAAAUGACAAUAUCCUAACAAACUUCAAUUCCAGACUCUAUUCAUAGGACAUUUGAUUGAGGUCUCCACAAACAUUGAAACACCGCAAUUUUUCAUGAUAAAAUCCAAAGGAUUGGUACUUUGGUGUUUGAGGGGCUGGUAAAUGAAAGAACAGAUCAAGAGAUGACAUCCCUCUAUACCGCUGUUAUUCCUUUCAAGGUGCGUAUCAGGUGUUUGAAAAACUUCCUCAACUUAAAAAUAAAAAGGUCCUGUUUACAAUGUUUUUUAGUCCUUUACAAAUCUUCCAAUGUGUUGCGUUUACUGAAUAUGAUAGUGGGAACUUAUUUAUCAAGAAUUAACUACUCAGAAGAAAAUGUAAAGACGCAAUAAUGAUUUUUUUAUUUUAGAUUCCAUAGUCUACAAACUUGGAAGCAUACGGACCAGUCAGAAGACAACAUGUUUAUUGUAUAUGAUAAACAAUAAUAAACAUCUCAUUCUUAAAAUGAUGGUAAAUCAGAAACAACCAUCCAAUACUUGAAGAUCUGUUGAAGAUAUUUGGCCUUUGGAAAUUUUGAAGAGAACUGGAGCAGUUGCAUAUGGAUUAGCUCUUCCAUCCAAUCUUUUCAUCUAACCAUCCAGUUUUCUAUGUAUCCAUGCUUUAAAAGUAUCUUCGUGCUCCAUCACAUGUAUUGGAGCCAUAAACAGUAGCAUUUCAAGGAGAUAUGUCAUGUGAAAUCCGUUCUAAUGAGAUUGCUUCAGUGAAAGUAAUGUGAGAAGGUCAUCCAAGUGAUGAAGCAACACGAGAACCUGAGAAGAUGAUACGUAAUAAAUAUCGUUAUUUCUUCAUUCAAUCAAGCUAACAAGUUUUCUACUUAAAUUCGAGGAUGAAUUUAUUUUAACAGGGGAGGUGGAAAUGUAAACCCACCCCAUAAUAUAUAACUCAUUAUUGUUUUAUAUGUUGGCCCGUUAAUUCAAGUCAUUUUCUUCUAUCUCUCUUAUAGGAAUGUUCCUCCUUCUCCCUUUUACUGCAAAUAUUCCCCCACGAUCCCAAACCAUCAAUUGACCCUAUAACUCUCUUGUUUUGAGUAGGUUUACUUCAACUUUAUCAAGUGUUUAUAAUAUUGUUUUAUGUUUAUUUAUUUAUAUAAAAUUGUUGAAUUCUAGGCGUUAUAUGAUAUUAGUUGAUGUUAUAUGGAAUUAUUUAAAUUAAUUUGUGUGUGGGUAGUAAUAAGUGUAUAUGAAUAUGAAUUGGAGUAAGGUCAUAGAUGGGUUGGUGUGAAGCUUUGAUUAAUUGAUAUAUUUUGAUGUAAUGAGUAAAUACCUUAAGAAAUUUGAAUAUUUGAAAGAUAAUAGGUAAAUAUUGAAGAAUUGUAUAGAAAGAAUCAUAUUGAAAUUAUGAAAAAUAUGUUUUGGGGUUGAUGAUGGAAGAAUUACAGUUUGGUCCUUGCUUUUGAGAAAUUAAGAUUUUGUCCCUAAAUUCUAAAACAAUUAUAGUUUAGUCACUGGUUGUAAAUAACAAUUUUUAAGAUAUUUUCCUGAUAAAUAUCUGAGAAAUAAUGAUCAUCUAUUAUCAAUUUUUAUUGUUAUCAUUUAAAUUUAAAAUUAAUUGUAUUAUCUACGAGCACAAGUGGUACAGUUAUCAAUCGAAUUUUAGCAAAAUCAAGGAUCCAAGAAUUGGCCUCUGUAACAUAUUAGGAAACUGGCAUGCAAACCCGACAAGAUAAAAGGCAAGGGACAAGAUAAAAUGAGAAAUAAGACACAAGAAUUUACGUGGUUCACCCAAUUUGGCUACGUCCACGGGCAAGUAUAGAAGGAUUUUACUAAGUAAUGUGGGAAUUACAACCUCUCUCUACUAAUAGGAGAACAACUGAAAUCUCUCUAUUAAUAGGAGAAAACACCUCACUUACUCUCUCACAAAUACCUCACAAUUUUGUGGGAUUACUUUCCCUCUCUCACUCUUCUCUUCCUCUCUUAUGAUGUGCAAAAUAAGCUUGGAUGCACUGCCUAUUUAUAGGCAAGCAUCCAAGCAAAGGACAAAAAGGCACCAAUUGGUGCUGCAAGUGGCACCGAAUUGGUGCCCAACAUUGUUGAAUUUGCAGCACAAAUUUGGUGCCUAACAUUGUUGACUUUGCCAACAAUGCAGCUGGCUUCACAUUCUCCCACUUGAAGACUUUGAUGAGUGAAUCAAGUCUUCACACUUAAUCAUCUGUGAUUCUUCUAUCCUUUCUAUACUUGUCAUCUUCAUGCUGCUUACAUUUCUGUUAGGCCAUAAGAGGAUCUGCACCAUAUGUACUUGUCAGUGUUGACUGGUUUGGUUAAAGCAUCUGCUGGGUUUUCCUUCGUGUGAACCUUUUGAAAAUCUACACUUCCAUCUUCCACUACUUCGCGAACAAAGUGAUACUAAACAUCUAUGUGUUUUGUUCUUGAAUGAAACGCGGGAUUCCUUGCAAUAUGCAAAGCACUCUGACUAUCACAAUACAAAAGAAUGUUCUCUUGUUUGUGCCCGAGCUCCUCCAUAAGUUUCUUCAUCCAUAUUGCUUCUUUACAAGCUUGUGUAGCUGCCAUGUACUCAGCUUCUGUUGUGGAUAAAGCUACAACAGUCUGAAGUUUAGAGACCCAGCUCACAGCUCCUCCUGCAAUUAUGAACACAUAGCCUGUAGUGGAUUUUCUUUUCUCAAGGUCGCCAGCAAAAUCUGAAUCAACAUAACCUCUGACGGUAAAUUCUGAUCCUCCAUAUCAUAAUGCAACAUCUGAGGUGCCCUUGAUGUAUCUCAAGAUCCUCUUAAUAGUAUUCCAAUGCUCUCUACCAGGAUUUGCCAUGUAUCGACUAGCUACUCCCACUGCUUGUGCAAUGUCUGGUCUUGUACAUAUCAUGGCAAACAUUAAGCUUCCCACUGCUGAUGCAUACGGUACUCGAGACAUCUCCAUCCUCUCUGCUUCAUUGCUAGGAGACAUACUUGAGGAUAAUUUGAAGUUAAUAGGAAGUGGGGUGGAAAUUGGCUUACAAUCUUGCAUGUUGAAGUGUCGUAAGAUCUUAUUCAAAUAAUUCUUCUGAGAAAGCCAAAUCUUCCUCUUACUUCUGUCUCGGUGAAUUUGCAUCCCUAGAAUCUUGUUUGCUGGUCCCAAGUCCUUCAUAUCAAACUCCCUAGCCAACUGUGCCUUCAAUUCUUGGACUCGAUCUUUGUUGGAGCCUAUUACCAACAUGUCAUCCACGUACAACAACAAAAUGAUGAAAACAUCAUUUUCUUCAAACCUCUUGUAAUACGUACAAUGGUCUGAACUGAGUCUGUUGUACCCAAGGCUAAUUAUGAAGGAAUCAAAUCUCUUGUACCAACAUCUCGGCGCCUGUUUGAGACCAUAUAGAGAUUUGUUCAACCUGCAAACCAAGUUCUCCUUGCCUACUUCAGCAAAACCCUCUGGUUGGAGCAUAUAAAUUUCUUCUUCAAGUUCUCCAUGAAGAAAUGCAGUUUUCACAUCUAACUGCUCUAAGUGAAGAUCAAAUAUAGCACACAUCGCCAAGACUACUCUGAUUGUAGUAAGUCAUACCACUGGAGAAAAUAUCUCAUUAAAAUCUAUUCCUUCUUUCUGAGCAUAUCCUUUCACCACCAAUCUUGCACGAUACCGCUCCACUUGAUUAUUGCCAUCAUGCUUUAUCUUGUAAACCCAUUUGUUGCCAAUGGCCUUCCUUCCUUGUGGUAGCGGAACAAGAUCCCAAGUGUUGUUCUUGUGUAGAGCUUCAAUCUCCUCUUGCAUCGCUGUCAUCCACAUAGAUACAUCUGUGCUUUUGAUAGCCUCAUGGAAAGUUGAUGGCUCUCCAUCCUCUGUUAGAAGACAGUAUGCAAUGUUGCUCUCAGUAACAUAUUCUGAGUGCCAAGCCGAUGGUCUUCUUUCACGAGUUGACCGUCGAACUUCAGGAGUUUCAGAUUCUAUUUGUUCUUGUUCUUCAUGCUCUGGUACAGCUUCAGAAGAAGUAUGAUUCUGAGUAUUUUCCAUCUGGACUGCUGUAGUCUCCUUUGGAAUGCUAUUAUGUUCUUCCAUUUGUAUUUUACCUUCUGCAAAUAUAACAUCUCUGCUGAUGACUAGCUUGUGGGAUUGGGCAGUGGGAUCCCACAAGCGAUACCCCUUCACUCCAUCAGCAUAUCCCAAGAAUACACAUUUUCUGGAUUUUGAAUCCAGCUUGUUGACUUCUUGAGUAUUGUACAUCACGUACACAGGACUUCCAAAUAUAUGUAAUUGAGAAUAAUCAGCUGACUUUCCAGUCCACAUCUCCAUCGGUGUCUUCAGCUCAAUUGCAGUUGAUGGAGAUCGAUUUAUCACAUAACAGGCGGUAUUGACUGCUUCUGCCUAGAAUGACUUUCCUAGACCUGCAGCCUUCAACAUUGCUCUCGUUCUUUCUAAUAGAGUUCUGUUCAUCCGCUCUGCCACUCCAUUUUGCUGUGGAGUGUAUGCCGUUGUGAACUGCCUUUUGAUACCUUCAUGUUGACAGAAGUUAUCAAAUUCAUCACUGGUAUAUUCUCCUCCAUUGUCAGUCCUCAAACACUUGAUCUUCUUUUCAGAUUCAAGUUCCACCCGCGCUUUGAAAGUUUUAAAGAUUGCGAACACAUCUGCCUUCCUUCUAAUUGGAUGCACCCAACAUCUCCUGGAGAAGUCAUCUAUGAAUGAUACAAAGUAUCUUGCUCCUCCCAAGGAUACAACCGGUGCUUGCCAAACAUCAGAGUGAAUCAAGUCUAAGAUGCAUUUGCUCUUAGUUGUUGAUGUGCCAAACUUCAACCUGUGUUGUUUACUUGUAACACAGUGCUCCCAAAAAGGUAAAGUAACCUUUGUAAGCCCAGGGAGUAACUUCUGAUCAAAGAGAACUUUCAAACCUUUCUCUGACAUGUGGCCUAGUUUUUGAUGCCACAUCAUCGUCUUCUUUUCUGCAGGACUGGCUGAUGCGAUUGACGCUUCUGCCCUAUGAUGUGUUUCUCCCAUUAAUACAAACAUGUUUGCAACUAUUUUUCUCGCCUUUAAAACUACCAACGCUCCUUUGACAAUUUUCAUUAUUCCAUUGUCUGUUCGGAUCUUAUAGCCAAGACUAUCAAAUUGUCCCACAGACAAAAGAUUUUUCUUUAAGUCUUUCACAUGACGCACUCCUGUAAUAGUACGAAUUAAGCCAUCAUACAUCUUCAAUUUGAUGGUGCCAAUGCCAGCAAUCUCUAAAGCAUGAUUAUCACCCAUGAACACUUUGCCUCCAGAGAUGGGUUCAUAUGUAUGGAACCAAUCUCGAUUAGGAGUCAUAUGCCAUGUUGCUCCUGAAUCCAUUAGCCAGACCUCAGUAAGCUCUUCUCUAUCUGUAGAGAUUGUCGCUGCUUCACUAUAUAAAACCUCCCCAUCUUCUGAGGUGCUCGCAACACAUCCUUGAGGUUUUGAUGACUCUGCAGUAUUCUCUAUACCCCUUUUAAACCAACAAUCCUUUUUGAAGUGCCCUUUUCUGCCACAGUUGUAGCAUUUCACAAUCUUCUUACUUCUUGAUUUGGACCUCCCUUGCCUUUGACUCCCACUGGAGCCACGCUCCGUUGAUCUCCCUCUUGACAUCAACAAUGCCUCUGCUUGGUUUGAACUAUUUCUGUCUCCUUUAUUUUUGCGCCUAUUUUCUUCUUCCAAGAUAGCGGCUGCAACAUCAUCAAAGACUAAAUAGUCUGUGAGGAUAUUAUUGGUCAAGUUGAUAAUGAGCUGAUCAUACGAAUCUGGGAGACUUCGAAGUAGAAGUUCUGCACGUUCACUUUCCUCUAUUUGUUGACCCAACGUAGUGAGUUGUGAAAAUAGAGUUCUUAUUGUGUUGAUGUGGUCAGUCACUGCCGUGGUUUCUGCCAUUCGAAGGGUAUAAAGUCUCCGCUUUAAGAAAAUCUUAUUGUGCAAAGACUUGGACUCAUAUAGCUUUGUUAGAGUCUCUCAUAUCUCCUUAGCUGUUUUCUUCUCCGCUACACUUGAUAAUACUUCAUCGGCUAAUGCUAAAUGUAUGUUAGCAAUAGCAUUGCCAUCCAUCUCAUUCCAUUUUGCAUUAUCAGUGAUCUCCGCGGGCCGAUCCCCAAUUGCUGCCAAGCAAUUGUCUUUCCUUAAGAUUGCUUUGAUUCUCAUUUUCCAGAGUGAGAAAUUGCUCCCAUUGAACCUCUCAAUCUCAUACUUUGCUGCCAUUUUAUUCACCGUGAUCUAUUCAGCUAUCACUGUUUCACAGAUCUGUAACGUAUAUAGAAAUAGUAUCGUGUGAAUAAUACUUCACUAAGUAAGUUCCCAGGAAAGAUUGGAGGGGUCACAAAUGGUCCCGCUUAAAACCCAAUCUCCUUAGACAGAACUUCCUAGACUGUAUUUAAUCACCGCACUGACUUUCUAUAUACGCCAACAGUAACGUAUGUGAAUAGUGCCGUAGACGUGAAUAGUAACCGUAUACACGAAUAACUUUUGUGUAUUAACAACACCAACCAAAAGGCUCUGAUACCACUAUUAGGAAACUGGCAUGCAAACCCGACAAGAUAAAAGGCAAGGGACAAGAUAAAAUGAGAAAUGAGACACACAAGAAUUUACGUGGUUCAACCAAUUUGGCUACGUCCACGGGCAAGUAUAGAAGGAUUUUACUAAGUAAUGUGGGAAUUACAACCUCUCUCUACUAAUAGGAGAAAACACCUCACUUACUCUCUCACAAAUACCUCACAAUUUUGUGGGAUUACUUUCCCUCUCUCACUCUUCUCUUCCUCUCUUAUGAUGUGCAAAAUAAGCUUGGAUGCACUGCCUAUUUAUAGGCAAGCAUCCAAGCAAAGGACAAAGGGGCACCAAUUGGUGCUGCAAGUGGCACCGAAUUGGUGCCCAACAUUGUUGAAUUUGCAGCACCAAUUUGGUGCCUAACAUUGUUGACUUUGCCAACAAUGCAGCUGGCUUCACAUAACAUAGUUUGUAUUCUGAGCCAAUCUGGGGUGGGACUUGAAACAAAUGUUGUAUAUUGUUUGCACUGUCACUUUGCUUACCCUCUUAGGUUUUUAUUGAGAUUAGGGAUUCUAUUGUAGCUCUUUUUUCUCCUUUUAUUAUAAUAAAAUAAUAUCUAUGGAUUAAUUUUGGUAUAAUUUAAGAAAGUAAGUCCUUUAAUCAAAUUUUAGAUUGACCAUCCUCUAUGUGUUAAAAGUAAAUGUUAAUUUAUAAAAUAAUAACUAUGUUUAAGUCUUGAUUAACUCAGAAGAUGUCUUCUAAGACGCAUCUCUGUCUUCUCUUCUCUUCUCUUCUUCUCUAUAAAAUUCCUUUUUAGCUCUCUGAUGUACUUAAUGUCCCGGAGGUGUGGCUUCUUCAUAUGAAGAAAAUGUUAAGAUUCAAUUAUGAUUUUAGAUUUUAGAUUCCAUUGUCUACAAAUUUGAACCAUGAUGAUGAAGCAUACGGACCAGUCAGUAGACAACAUGUUUAUUAUAUAUGAUAGAGGUCCUCAAUGUAUUUCACGUUUCUAUGAGAAAUUUCACGAGACUAUGAGUACUCGAAUUGAUCUUAGUACAACAUUUCAUUCUCAAAAUAAUGGUUAAUAAAAAAGAACCAUUCAAAUACUUGAAGAUAUGUUGAUAGCAUGCAUACUUAAGUGGAGUUUGCUGGAACAAAUAUGUACCAUUGGUGGAGUUCGUUAAGAGGGGGGAACUAAUUCCUCGAUAUAUUAGGCCUUUGGAAAUUUUGAAGAGAAUUGGUGCACUUGCUUAUGGAUUAGCUCUUCCACCCAGCUUUUUCAUCUAAACAUCCAGUAUUCCAUGUAUCCAUGCUUUAGAAGUAUAUUUGUGCUCCAUCACAUGUAUUGGAGCCAUAAACCGUAGCAUUUGAAGAAGAUAUGUCAUGUAAAAUUCGACUGGAGAGAAUUGAAGAUAGACAAAUUAGAAAACUUCGUUCUAAAGAUUGCUUUAGUGAAAGUAAUGUGAGAAGGUCAUACCUGAGAAGAUGAUACGUAAUAAAUAUCGUGAUUUCUUCAUUCAAUCAAGCUAGCAAGUUUUCUAAUUAAAUUUCGAGGGUGAAUUUAUUUUAACAGGGGAGGAAAUGUCAACCCCACCCAUAAUAUAUAACCCAUUAUUGUUUUAUUGGUCCAUUUAGGUAGCCCAUUUGUUAUAUACAGAAGGAGAGAGGUAAGGACAUUGUUAGUCAUUUUCUUCUUUCUCUCUUACGGGGAAUGUUCUUCCUUCUCCCUUUUACUGCAAAUAUUCCCCCACAAUCCUAAACCACCAAUUGACCAUAUAACUCCCUUGUUUUGAGUAGGUUUACUUCAACUUUAUCUAAGUGUUUAUAAUAUUGUUUUAGGUUUAUUUCUUUAUAUAAGCUUGUUGAAUUCUAGGCCUUAUAUGAUAUUAGUUGAUGUGAUUUGGAUUUAUUCUUAAGUUAAUUUGUGUGUGGGUAGUAACAAGUGUAUAUGAAUAUGAAUUGAAGUAAGUACCUUAACAAAUGUGAUGGGUUGGUGUGAAGCUUUGAUUAAUUGCUAUAUUUUGAUGUAAUGAGCAAAUACCUUAAGAAAUUUGAAUAUUUGAAAGAUAAUAGGUAAAUAUUGAAGAAUUGUAUAGAAAGAAUCGUAUUGAAAUUAUGGAAAAUAUGAUUUUGUCCCUAAAUUCUAAAAAACAAUUAUAGUUUGGUCACUGGUUGUAAAAACAAUUAUAUUUUCAAACUUUCAAUAUAGAGAGAGAAAUAAAAAUAAAAAGGAAAAGGAAAAGGAAACAACCCCCAGCUUUCUUGUGCCCUUUCCCUUCUUUACAUGGCUUCCUCGAUCGAUGUAAAAAAGCAAACGCCCCAUUUGAUUUUCAAGCAGUAUGAGUGAGAAAGAUAGAGAGGACAAGAGAGGACAAGGGGGUCCUCUCUCUCUUUCCUUGCUUUUUUUAACGCGUGGACCCAGCAGUUGUUGCCACCAAAUUCCUUCCUCAAUAUUUACCAGUGCUACACGCUUGAGAAAUUUCCUUGUUAUUUUUUUUAUUAAUGAAAUAUUACUUUUACCGUAUAGCCAUUGAAUUCUAGAUCAAUUUAUCGGGUAUUGGGCCGGUUUGGAUUUAAUAAUUAUGAUUCACAGACAUACAACUAGUACUUGCAACUAUUAAUAUUUAUUAUUUUCAUUAAGUUUUUCAAACUUUCAAUAUAGAGAGAAAAAUAAAAAUAAAAAGGAAAAGGAAACAACCCCCAUCUUUCUUGUGCCUCUUCCUUUUUUUUUAAGUUUAAUGUUGGUGUUUGGGUCAACUUGCACGCAUCUCGACUAAUUUCAUGGGCUCUGAAGUUAACAACUAUGUAAGUCUCCAAUGACCAUCAUAUAAACAACCACGGGGCUCGAAUUUAAAACUAUAAAAAAAACAAAUCUCUUAAUCACAUGAUCUUAUUAAUGUACCACCAUUUAGGUAGUUGCCCUUUCCCUUCUUUACAUGGCUUACCCGAUGAAAAAAGCAAACACCCCAUUUUGAUUUUCAUUCCGUACGAGUGAGAAAGAAAGACAGGACAAGGUUUGUUGAGGCUUUUUUUUUGGAACCUCGCUCUGGGAUUAAUUAGCGAGAAUAAGAAAAUUCUAUGCAAAUUAUACAAAAUUUAUUAUUAAUCAUCAAUAUUUAUUCUUAUCAUCAAUAUUGAAUAAUGGUUUAUUUUCUAGUAUAAACUAUGAUGGGUUCGUUUAUAAAAAUAAAUAAAUUGAGGUUUUUCAAUUUCCUUUAAACAUAUCAUAGUUUUAAUACCAUUUAUUUUUACAUUUUAAAAAUAAUUUUUAAAAAAAUUAAAAAUAAAUUUUAUUUUUUAUUUCAAAAUAAUAUUUUUUUAAAUAUUUUUAAAUUAUCUUGAUAUAUUGAUAUUAAAAUUAAUUUUUAAAAGAUAAAUUUUUUCAAACAUAAAGUUUAGCCUGCAGAUCUUCCGCUGAUCCCAUCUCAUUGUUGUAUGCAUCCAAGCUAAGCCAAUUCAAGAAAGAAGAUUUGAAGAAUACCACCAGCAGCAGGAGUAAUACAUUAACAUAACAGCAUUAUGGCAGAAGGAGGGACGACCUCACUGCAAGGGCGAAGGCAUGUUAAAGACUUGGGCGUGCUAUAAUUUAGAUUAAAACUUUAUUAAUAUUUUUUGAUUAGUUUUAUUUAAAAAAAUUGUAAUUCUUGAUUGAAUUAUUAAAAAAAUUUAAAAUUUAUGUGGAGCUUUCUAGAAUAACGUUUUAACUUGGAUUAAAAUUUCAGAAUAUUUUGAGAAAUUCAAAAAUUUGAUGAAAAAUCAUAAUUUAACUAAUUUUAUGUUAAUUGAUGUAAUUUUCAAUCCAACUAUCAAAUUGAGCUGAAAUUUUACGAGAAAUCUUAAAAUAUAUUAAAUAAAAUAUAAUUAAAAUUUUAUGAUGAGUGGAGCUUGAUAAUACUAACAAAAAAAAUCAUCAAAUAAAAACAAAUCAAGAAUAAAAUGAUUAUUUCCAUUAAAAAGUAAAAUAAAUCAACUAUUUAUAUAAUAGCUAAAUCUAUUAAGAUAAAUCGAAAAUAACUAGUAAAAUCAAUGACUUGUAUUGACGAGUGUGUCUAUAUAUACAUAUAGGAACUGCUGAUUCGAUUUGAAUAUGUUAUUUGAUUAGUCUAAUUCAUGAUUUGCAUUGACUCAAAAUUACCACUAGAAAUUCCUAGUUUCGUGGUGCUUUCUCAGCCUGCAAAUGAAUAUAAAGCAUAUCCUUUUAUCCUAUAUAAAGAAUACAAUUAACCUUUUUAUCUUUUAUAAUUAUAAUUAUUGCAUUGCUAAUAAUUUGCACGAAAGAAUAUUGUUUCUCUGAAAAGGGCUUGAGAAAACCCUAAGCAUAGUAUAUAAUCUCUUAUAGGAAUCUCUUUAUUAAAUUAUCAAAAUAUCAAAGUCUGUUUCCAAAGACUAUGACUACAGUUUAUAUAUAGAAACAACCAAAUAUAAAAAUUAUUAAUUUUUAAAUAGAAAAACCAGAGAGCUUGAUAAUAUUUAAUAAAAAAAAUAAAAUAGAAAAAUUAUUCCUUUUUAAGUAGAAAAAAAUUAUAAAGAUUUAAUAAUACUAAAUAAGAAAAAUUAAAAUUUCUACACUAAAUUAAAAAAACAAAAAAAAAACUGAGAAAAUAUUUAUUAUCCCAAUAGUUCUUAUAUUAAAAUCUCAUUUAUCAUAUGUUAUAUCUAUCAAAAUAAUAAUAAUAAUAACUUGUGACUUGAACUAAAGCUACAUGCGAAAACUAGAAAAACCCGGUAGAGACCCGUUCUGUUUUUUCAAAUAUGUUUUUUCUUCUAGCUAGAGACCUUUUUUUUUAAUAUAUUUUUCUAUUGGUUACUAAACCAUUUCAAAGUUCACUAUAUAAAUACUAGAAGAAUAUUUUAUUUUUUCAAUAUGGAAUAAAAAAAAUCAUUUUUGUUUACAUACCUCAAUUUAAAAGAAUUAGAUAAUAUUUUUUUAAUAUGAGAUAAAAAAACCUUUUGAAAUAAUCUUUUAAACUUUAUUAUAUGCAACAUGUAUAAUCUAUAUUCAUAUAAAUUAUUUCUUUAAUUUUUUUCAUUCUCAUAUUCAAACUUCCAAUAUUGAGAGAGAAAUUAAAAGGAGCAAAAGGAAACAACCAGUGAGGACAAUAUCCUCCAGCUCAUCAUCAGAUCCCACGAAAGGAACGCAGAAAGACAUUCCCUUUCUUGUCAUCAAGUUUUGAAUCAAAAAGUACUUUCGUGCAUUAUUGUCAUAAAGUUUUUCAAACUUCCAAUAUAGAGAGAGAAAUUAAAAGUAAAAAUAAAAAGAGCAAAAGGAAACAACCCCCACCCCAUCUUUCUUGUUCCCUUUUCCUUCAAUGAAAAAGCAAGCACUAAUGCACCUUCUCCACAAACUACCCCCCAAUUUCGCCACUAUAUAAAUAUAUUAUGGAAAACAAGAUAAAAAGAAAUCUUUCGGUACAUCUAUAUAUAUAUAUAUAUAUAUAUAUUAUGGCUAUGAAAAUAGGUUUGUGGAAAUUUACAUGGUUUGAUUUUGACAGUGUCAGAUUAGACAAUUGCAUGGAAAUGGUCUUCUUAGUUUGCCGUGUGGAAAAUCAUGUCAUUUACGGGACUGCUGGAGAGAGUUUCUAUUGAUAAUUUCACUCGAAAAGUUUUAGUAAUUUACAAAGGAAAUUUCUCCUUUAUAUGAAUUGAAAAACUAUUAUUGACUGACUUCUUGCAAAGUAUUUGCAAGAAAGCUAAAGAAUUAAAGUUUUUCAAUUUUGAAAAUUAUAAUUUAAAAUUUUUAGAAAAAAAUCAAUUAUUUUUAAAAUUGUUUUCAAAAAUACACUACCAGAAAUUCAUCUAAUACCAACGGACUUACCGACAGAAUUAUUCUGUCGGUAAAUUGCGGUGAUAAUUACUGACGGAUACUAAUCCGUCUGUAAUUCAGUUGGUAUAUACCGACGGAAUUAUUCCGUCGGUAUAUACCGACUGAAUUACAGAAGAAAGAUAUAGAAUUAAAAAAAAGCGGGGAUGUUGACGUGACAGUUUUUGCGGGCGAUUUUACCGACGGAAUCAACGAGGGAUUCAAACCCUGAUUUUGUUUAUGAGCAAUUUUGACUAUCUUAGAGGUAGAACUAGGUUCUCUUUAAUCAUAGAACUUGUAGCCUCAUGUCUUAGCUUUCUAACAAGACUAAUCUUGCUUAAAUCGGAGUUUUAUAACUCCAGAUAUAGUUAAAAAUAUGAGGAGAGGUCAGACAGUAACAGUUCAAUGUUUAGACAGUAACAGUUCAAAAAUGAGACAGUAAUAGUUGGACAGUAACAGUUCAAGAACGAGACAGUAACAGUUAAAAAAUGAGACAGUAACAGUUCAAAAAUGAGACAAUAAUAGUUGGACAGUAACAGUUCAAAAAAGGAGACAGUAACAGUUAAAAAACGAGACAGUAACAGUUCAAUGUCUAGACAGUGACAGUUCGGGAUUUAAACAGAAACGGUUCAAAUAUAUAUAUAUAUAUAUAUAUAUGUGUGUGUGUGUGUGUGUGUGUGUGUGUGUGUGUGUGUGUGUGUGAAAUGAGAAAAAUGUAAAAUAUUAAGAAAUGACUGAAAGAAAGACUUAUUGGUUGUUGAUAUGGUUAUAAUAAAACAUAUCCUUGAGUGAGGAAGUAGAGCUUCUAUUGCAGGUAGGUAAUCCGUACCUAUACUUUCUAGUUUAAUUCUAUGAUUUAAUAAGUUAUUGAUGUGAGAUGUGAAUUACCGAAUAUGGGAUAUUAGGAUAAAGGAGGAAAGUUUGCGUAAUGAUGCCGAUAUUUGGAAAGUAUUCUUAAUGUAUGUGUAUUCAAGGUGAACGGUUGUUCUGUGAAUUGCCAAGUGAUGAAAUUAUAAUUGAUAAAGAAAAUAUGAGAAGUGUGAUUUGGGGCGUGAACUAGCAUACAUUUAGUGUAUGUUAGGAUCCCGGGUAAGGGGAUCAAGAUGUAUUGGCUAGCAUACAUUUAGUGUAUGUUAGGAUCCCGGGUAAGGGGAUCACCAUGUAUUGGCUAGCAUACAUUUAGUGUAUGUUAGGAUCCCGGGUAAGGGGAUCACCUUGCAUCGACUCCUACAUGAUGAUGAUGAUGAUAACAGUGAAAUUGGUAUCGGUAAUGUGUUAAGCGGAAAUAAUCAUGGGUGGUUUUAUGAGAUCUUGAAUGGAGGUUGAUAAUAGAAGAGGAAAUGGUUUUUAGUAGUUGAAGGAGAAAAAGUCUCCAAUAAGAACCAAAAGGGAGAAGUGAAUAAAAUAUGAAUGUAUGUUGCCUUUUUAAAUUGCUGGAUAUUUGUAUUGCUAUAUUAUUGUGAUAUUCAUAUUUCAAUAAUAUGUAUUUUAUUUUCAGGACCAUCGCAUGCAUGACAGGAGUAGAUUUUGGCUUAGGUUCUUUUUUUGUAAUUUAGGUUCUAAGGAGUAUACCCUUGUAUUUGGUAAUAUUACAACUUUUAUUUAACUUAAUUUGUAUAAUUGAUGUUUAAACUUGAAUAGAUGAACUUAAUUCGGUAGUUUGUAUAACUAUGUUCCAUUAAGCAUGUUUAUAUCUUUAACCAUCCAUAAUGAUAAUUGUUGUACAAUGUAUAUCAUCAACAUUGUGGUUGAUAUGAAUGGUGAUGUUUGUGGGAUUGAGACCUAAGAUGAUUAGGCUGAAUUGAGUUGGAGAUGCGGUAUAUUAGAAGUGUAAACAGGACGUAUGUCGAUAACUUGGGACCUCCCGGUAUAGGGGAUACUCUGUUAAAAUUUCACUAGACUUUAAUGCAAAUACCAUGAAUAGAUAUAUAUAUAUAAAAUUUAGUCACUCUGUUUAUCAGCUAACAUGAGAUCGUUGCUUUAUCCCUGAUAUGGGAAUGUUACAGGUUCGAUAGAAGUCAUGGAUGAUUGUUCAUGGAUGUAUCGAGAUCCAUGUGUUAAUUUUGACAACAUGUAUUAAUUAAGAUGACAACAUGUAUUAAUUAACUAACAUAGUUAACUAAUACAUGUUUUCAUCAUAAUUUUAUAGAGGUUCGAUAAAAGUCAUGGAUGAUUGUUCAUGGAUGUAUCGAGAUGCACCCCAUGGAUUGCAGAGGAUUCUUUGAAGAAAAUUCAAAUUUUCAUGUUUUCGAUAAUAGUCUUGUUGAUGUUGACGCAGAGGAGUUGAAUGUUGUUUUGAGCUCUAACGGACAAGCAAAUAUCGAUGAAGAUGAUGAUUAUGAUGACAUCCAUAUUGAAGAUUGCGAUGGAGCUGAUGACUAUUCAAUUGAUGACGAAGAAGAAGAAAAUUCUGACUAACUAGCAGAAUCAAGGAAAGUGCAAAGCAUUUUUCUAAAAUGUAAUAUGUAUUAUCGAUGAUAUUUUGUAACAUGAAAUAUUUAUUUGAUAAGUGUUUAAGUGUUUUUGUGUGAUGGGCAGUUUGUAAUUUAAGUGUUUGUAGGAAGGUAAAUAGGCAAUACAAACAAAAGUUUUCAUGCACAGUGCACGAUCACCAACGUCCAUACCGAUGGAUUACAUUUCGUCGGUAUUGCACAGAGAGCUGUAAAAUAUUUAUUGGAAAUGCCACAAUCACCGACGACUUUGCAGAUGGAUUACCGUCCGUCGGCAUUCAACAGAGAGGUUCACUGGAAAUGCCACAAUCACUCACCGACGACUUUGUAGACAGAUUAAAGUCUGUCAGCAUUCCACAGAGAGGUUCACUGGAAAUGCCACAAUCACCGACGACUUUGCUGAUGGAGUAGAGUCUGUCGGCAUUCCACAGAGAGUGGUGGAAAUGCCACAAUCACCGAUGACUUUGCAAACGGAUUACAGUCCGUCGGCAUUGUGUCGGCAGCUCACAAUUAUCGAUAAAUUCACCAACGAACGGUGUGAAUUCCAAAGGACGGGUAAUAAAUGCAUAUCUGAUAGCGUGCAGCUGCCGACGGAAUUACCAACGAACUGCGAAAAAUAUGGAGGGUAAUUAAAAAAUUCUGGAGCAAAAUUCAAAAUUUACCGACGGAGUUAAAUGUUCGUCAGUGAAUCCGUCGGUAAAAUUACGAUAUAAAUGCCAGCGACCGCCCUUUGAGUUCAUUUUUUCAUCUCCUUUGUUUUUAGAGCUUAACUUUUUGUUUUUUUUCCCUCUCAUUUCCUUCAAAUCUCUUGUUUUUUCUUGUAAUCUCUAGUUAUAUCUUCAGCAAAUUAAAAGGUAUGUAUUUCCUCUACUUAAUUUGCUUUAAGAUUUUACUUUUUUAUUUGUUCUUUGUUUAGCAAUUGUUAUUUUUGUUAUGUUUUUUGUUUUGGUGUAUUUUCAUAAUGUAGAUAAAGUCUUACAAUAAACACAUUAUUAAGGUAAGCAUUUUUCAUUCUUAAAGUCUAUAGUUUUUUUUUUAACUUGUUCAAUAUAUUUUGUUGUUUGUUUUGCCAUAAUAAUUAGGGGUGAGCAAAUUCGGUUCGGUUCGGUUUUUAUCUAAAAAACUAACCAAAAUCAAAUUUUGAAAAACUUAAAAAUUCAAACCGGACCCAAACCGGAACCGGUUCAAACCGACCGGUUUCGGUUCGGUUCGGUUCGGUUUUUUUAUCAGGAAAACCGGAAAACCUGUAUUAUUGUUUUUUUGGGCUUUUUCGGGCUUUUUAAUGGGCUUUCUGAUGGGUUUUCUGAUGGGCUUGUAAUUAAUGUAAAUAUCAUCUAAUUUUGUUACAAAAUUCUAUAAUAUAUUUAAUAUUUUUUAUCACUAAAUAUUCAUUUAUAUUAAAUUAUUAGUGCUAAUAUUAUGUUUAAUAUGUUGCACAUCUUUCUAAUAUUUAUAUUUAGGAGUUUGGACUCCUCAUGCAUCAAAAUUUAAAUAACACACACACCAAAUUAAAAUUAAAAUUACAAAGCAUUGCCUUCAAAAUGGGCUUAAAAAAACAACAAAUAACAUUGCCAUAAAAAAUAAAAUACUUCAUGCAAAAAAUAUAAAUCUUCAUUGUGCACAUCAUCUCAAUCAAAAAGCACAACAAGAUGACAAGAACAUUGCACUUUGAUUCCGUAAUACCAUUGACAUCAAAACCUGAAAAUCAAGAUCUAAAAUUAUAACAUGAUAAAAUAAAUUAGAAUAUGUAAAAAUAAAUAGUAGUAUUUUACCAUCAAAGUAACUUUUGAACUAAUUAUCAUUUGUUACUAAAUGUAACUUUCCACCAAAUUCUACAAAAUAAAAAAUUAGACAUGUUAGAUGAUUGCAAACAAUUUAAUUAAUAAAUAACAAAAUAAAAGGUGCAAAUUUCUAAAAACAAUUACCUGACUCAAGGUUUUCGUAGGUUUCAAGAUCAUUUAUCAAGCUUCUAAUAUCAGUUGGAAUUGAUCCAUGAUGAAACCAAUUUUGACAACAAAUGAGUGCUUGAACAGUUGCUGGAGAUAGAGAACUUCGAAAUUGAUCAAGUACACGACCACCUGUGCUAAAUGCUGAUUCAGAAGCCACUGUAGAUAUAGGAAUAGCCAGAACAUGUUGUGCAACCUUUGAAAGUGUCUUAUAUUUCAAAGCAUUACUUUUUCACCAACCCAAAAUAUCUAACUUAUCAUCAUUACGAUCCUCACAACCUUCAAUCAAAUACCUCUCAACCUCAUUUUUAUUUUCCACACUAUCCACCUUCAGCAAAUGUCUUUUGAAUCGAGCCAAAGUGUUAACAUCUACCUCCACAUCAUCAAUAGCAUUAACAUCCUGUUUAUGCCUAUUAUUAUCCACCACUUCAUCAAUUUUCAAAUAAAACUCAUACAAGCUCACCAAAGUAUCUUUCACCUUAUUUGUUAGCAAUUGUGCUUUGUCAUAAUCAUACAAAUCACCAAAACAAAAUUCCACAUAUUUCAACUUCAAACAUGGAUCUAAGACAUUAGCCACAUAUAACAAAAAAUUCUGAUUUACUUCACAACCCCAAUACUUCUCAAACUUUAACAUCAUCUUCAUCGCCAUUCCACUUUAACAAGUUUGUAUGCAUGUAAAUCAAUUCAUUGAAGAAAGAAUUUGAUGUGACAUGCAAUGAGCCAGAAAAUAUCAAUGUAACCAUAUAAAAGAUCUUUAAGAACUUAACCAAAGUUCUUGCAUUUUCCCAAUCCUCCAAACUAGGUGGCCCUAUGUUUUUUUUAUUCCCCUUUGAAUCAACCUCCAAAAAGUAACUCAUAUACCUAAGUUCUCUUUCACCUAACCUCACAAAUACCUUUUCAAACUUUUCAGCAGCUUCUAGCAUAAGAUAAGUUGAAUUCCAUCGAGUUGCAACAUCUAAACACAAUGAUUUCUUACACUCUAUAUGCAACUUUUCAGCACACUUCUUAAAUGCAAGAUGCCUCAACGGUGAAGAUCUCACAAACCUAAUGGCAUUUCGAAUCUUAACAACUGAAUCAUUAAUCUCUUUCAAGCCAUCACACACAAUGAGGUUUACAAUGUGUGCACAACAUCUAACAUGCAGGUGCUCAUUUGACAAUAUAUUAGUUGGCCAAUCUUUCAUCACAUUCUUUAAAUAUGAAAUGGUCACAUUAUUAGAGCUUGCAUUGUCUAAUGUAAUAGUCAACAGUUUAUCAAUCCCCCACUCCAACAAACAAUUCUCAAUAACUUGGCCAAUUGUCUCACCCAUAUGAUUGGAAACUUGACAAAAAUUAAGAAUUCUUUUAUGCAAAUUCCAGUCAUUAUCAAUCCAAUGAGCUGUUAAACAAAUAUAGUUAAUAUUUUGGAUUGAUGUCCAUGUAUCUGUUGUCAAGCACAAUCGUUGACCCCUAAGAGCUGUCCUCAAUCUAUCCUUCUCUUCAACAUAAAGUUUCAAACAAUCUCUCAUAAUUGUAAAACGAGAAGGAAUGUCAAAUCUAGGUUGUAUAGUCCUAGCAAACAAUUUAAAUCCCCGACCCUCCACAAAAUUAAAAAGCAACUCAUCAAUUAUAACCAUCUUUGCUAGUGCUUGUCUACAUUCAUCAUAAUUAUAACCUAUUGCCUUAAGACUUCCCACAUUUUGUUCUCCCAAUUCACCCUUCUCUAUCUUAGGUUCUAAUACCAAAACCUUUUGUUUCUUAUCAAUCACAAAAGGGAACUUCUUGUACACUUUUAAAUGACUCCACAUAUUACUUGUGCCAUUAACAAUAGUAUGACAUGCAUAAUGUUUUCCACAAUAAUUACAUUCAGCUCUAGGGGUUUUAGGAUCAACAUCAAGUUUUGUAAAGUGAUCCCAAGUUUGUGACUUCUUUUUAUCAUCAGCAUUUCUUUUCCUAGAUGAAAGGACUUGAGGUUGUUUACCUUGUGUAUCUGUGGUGGAUCCUGCAUUGGUUGAUUCUACAUUAGGUUUUGAAGUUGGAGAAGUAGUUGAUGUUGGUGUAGUGCCUGUGGAUGAAGCAUUUUGAAUUUGAGUAGUUUCCAUCUGUUAUUAUAUAUGAAAACAUGUUAAAAACCAAUAAUUUAUAAUAGAUUAACAACAGUAUGACAUGCAUAAGUUCAACUGUAAUUUUAAAGAUUAUUUUCACAAGUUAAGUUCUUUUAUUUUGGUUGAUAUGUUGUAAAAACAAUUAUGUUGCUGAGUGCUGAGAUUGUAUUUUGUAAUUUCAAUAGACAAUAAUACAAUACAAUAUAUAUAUAUAUAAACAUUAUUCUCUUUUCAAUAAAUAAAAAAAAUUCAGUUUUCAGAAUUGAUAAAUUACAAUCCACCGAAUCCCCCCUCUUUUUUUUAACACAGAUAAUAAACAUUAUUCUCUGUUUUUUUAGCACACAGCAUUGACAGCACACCAUAAUAAUGGAUUAGCAAUAAUAUUUAAAACAAAUGCCUCUCGGGGAAACUGUAUUUUCCCAUUUUUCUCCCUAAUGUAAUAUCAGGCUCAUAAUACCAAUUCACCGCAUUGGUAUUGCAAGUUUUUAUCAUUUGUUUAGUAUCAUUUUCUUCUUCAGUCAUUUGGCUAUUGACAUAAUGAGAUAAUUUUUCUAAUCUUUUACCAGUACUCCACCUUAGAGUAUGAGUGGAAUUCAAUCUCUAAUGUCUAGCUAAAAGCCUAAAACGGCACAAAGAGGUUUCUUUAGUAAUGAUCAAGUUUUACCACUACCAGUGCCAAUUAUUCCCAUUUCUUUCAGUGAUGUGCUGUUAGCUUUAGCAUUUGGAACAAUCAUAACAUAUUGUCUUUCUCAUGACCAGUGCCAUUUCUACCAGUGCCAAUUAUCUGUGUUUUGUAUAUUAAAUUAACAUGCAAGAGUUUGUAUAUUAAAUUAACCCUCAUUCCGAUAUUAAUCUAGAUUCCAUUAUUUUUUCAUUGCUACUCAUGACCUUAAUAAAACACGAAUUCAUUAACAUAUUGUCUUUCUCAGCAAAGAAAAAACGCAUUGUCUCUGUCAUAAAUCUCUUCUUAAGAAGUUUAUUAAAAAAUAAACAGAAUCACAGAGCAAUAGAGCAUAUGUUCAAAAAAAAAACAGAGACAAAAAAAAAAUCAUACCUGGUGUGACACGAUUCAAGGUCGGGUGUGAGAGAGGGAGGUGACUGCCUCACUGGUUCGCUAAAUCUGGAGUUGGACUCUGGAGGUUCGGUGAGCCGGUGUGGUGUGUGUCCUACGAUUCAAGAUCAGGUGUGACCGUGUGAGAGAGGGACGUGGCUGACUGGGGUUUGAAGAUGAAGAUGGUGGCCGGUGGGAGAGGGAUGUGGCUGACUGGCGUUUGAAGAUGAAGAUGGUGGGAGAGGGAUGUGGCUGACCGGCGUUUGAAGAUGAAGAUGAAGAUGGUGGGAGAGGGAUGUGGCUGGUUGUGGUCCAGUAGAUGAAGAUGGAUUGAUUUCUUACAUAUGUGAAAUUGUGAGUUGUGAGUUGAGGGAGCGGCUUAGGAGAAAGGAGAAGGACGGCUGGAGCAGGAGUAUGGAUGCUAGGGUUAAGAAAAACAACGCGAUUUUUUUUGUAGCUAUUUAUAGUACCCCUUAAACCGAACCGGUUCGGUUCGAUUGGGGUUUUUCCGGUUUCAGGUUUCUAAAACCGAAACCGAACCGAACCAAACCAAAAAUUUUUACAAAAAAUUUAAUCGGUUUUUUUGGUUAUUUUUUUUUCGGUUUUCUCGGUUUAUUCGGUGUCUCGGUUUUUUUUCUCACCCCUAAUAAUAAUUGAACACUUUGUUGAAUUUUAAUUGUUAUUGUUGAAUUUACCUUGCAAUUAGUAAUUGAAUACACUGGAAUGAAUUUAAUUAUUUUAUCUCAAUUUUACUGUAUUUUUGCAUGAUAUGUGUUUAAUUAUUUUGUUGAAUUUUAAUUGUUAUUGUUGAAUUUACCUUGUAAUUAGUAAUUAAAUAUAUUGGAAUAAAUUUAAUUAUUUUAUUUCAAUUUUACUGUAUUUUUGCAUGAUAUGUGUUUAAUUAUUUUGUUGAAUUUUAAUUCUUAUUGUUGAAUUUACCUUGUAAUUAGUAAUUGAAUAUAUUGGAAUGAAUUUAAUUAUUUUAUCUCAAUUUUACUGUAUUUUUGCAUGAUAUGUGUUUAAUUAUUUAGUUGAAUUUUAAUUGUUAUUGUUGAAUUUACCAUGUAAUUACUAAUUGAAUAUAUAAGAAUAAAUUUAAUUAUUUUAUCUCAAUUUUACUCUAUUAUUACAUGAUAUGUGUUUAAUUAUUUCCAUUAAUUUUAAUUGUUAUUUGUAUAGAUGUUAGGUUAUAUGUAAGAUUUUUGAAUGGGGGUCAAUUGGUUGUGGCUAUUGUUAAUAUUUGAAGGUUUGAAAACUUUGGGUAGUCUCCAGUAUAGAAGAGACGCUGCUGAAUUUUUUUUAACAAUCGAAUUUAAUUAUAUAAUUAUUCUUAUAAAAUUGCGUAGAUGUGUAUAAUGAAAUCAACUGUUCGUCGCUCACAUAUGGUCGCAGCUAGUUCUUCUAGCAGCAAGAAUGACAUUUCCUUAGGUGUCAAUCAAGAAGAGGUACCUGCACCACCUACCGAUGCUGCCUCUUGCAGCACGGUUUCACAGCGCAGAGACGGCGUGCCUUCACAGUGGAAUCAAUUUACUUACAAGUACGAGGCACAAUGGAAGAACGAUGUUUCAAUGUAAGUUUGUUUUGAUUUUAGUUUUUUUUUUAAUUAUAACAUAAUUUAUGAACAACUAAUCAAUAUUUCAUUAAUUUAAUUUAUUUUCAGGUUCACAAACAUUGAGACCGUCCGAGUAAUAUCAUCGGCGUUUAAAUCGUCGAUGGAGAUUCCAUUAUUUCAAUGGAGUUAGGUAUCCAGACAUCCUGAAUGGAUACCUAAUAUCGAUGCAUGGUUUGAUAAAUUUGAGGUUGGUGUUAAUUUCUAAUUUCCAGCUUAUUUUUAAUAAAUUAUUAAUAUAAUUAUAAAUAAAUUAUUAUUUUUAUUUUAAAUAAAUUAUGUAUACGUGGCACAAAUUCGAGUAGGACAGCACACAUGAUAAUAUUGUGAGGAGGGUGUGGGAAAAUCAUGCGGCAACUAAGUAACAUCGAAAACAAUAUGAUAUUUUUUAAAAAAAAAAUAUGUUUUAAAAUCUAAUUUGUUACUAUGGAAGUAGGUUGUGUGAUUUUUGGUAUGAAGCACAAAAAAAGGUAAAAAAAAAAAAAACACGAGAGAUAGAGGUCUCCAAGGCUAGAACGACGUGGCGGUUUGGGGGGAUUUCAAACCGCUACACAUCCCGGAAAAUAUUUGGCCGGAAUAUAUUGAGCACGUGACGUCUGAGCGGUUCACACGACGCUCAAAGUCUGGUGCUGACAACCGGAACAGGCAAAUUCAUGGUUCACUGACAACGCACAUCGACGGCUCCGUAUCGUUUGCUACACAUGCAAAACGGAUAUAAGAUUAAUUUAAAUGAAAUAUAUCGUUAAAUAAUUUGUUGUUACUUAAUUAAUUUUUUUUCUUACAGGCUACGUCUCUUGGACGUGAGCCGAGCCCAAUGGAGCUGUUUGUAGAGACGCACAUGCGGAGUCAAGACCGCCAAAAGGGGGUGCAACAGUUCGUUGACAACCGCGCUCAACACUUUGUGGUAUGUUCGUUCAACCAUUUUAUUUCGUAAGUUAUUAUUUUUAUUGAAUUGAAUAUGAUGAUUUUUUUUUAUUUUCAGGAUACCUAUAAUAGUCGUUGAGGGAGAGAUAUAGGGACGAUCCUUCAAUCCAUCCGGAUUUCAAUCCGGAUUUGUGGAUGGCGGUAGGAUCGUCCGGUGGACUCGAUAAAAAUCAGGUGUAUGGGCUCUCCAACACCACGGCCGAGAACUUGCGAGCGGCCAGUAGUGCCUCAACCGUUGGGAGCUCCCAAUCUAAGGAGUCCGUGGCCUUGCAGCAACACACGAGUCAUCUCACCGAGAAAUACGAGCAACUCUCGACGAAUUAUGAACUUCGCCAAAUUAUCAUGAACAUGACAUCACAGAGUGACUUUAUGGUCUCGGGAAAAACCAGCCUCCUCCUCCUCCUCCUCCUCCAGCCCCGCCAUUCUGCUAAUUUAAUAUUUUUUUGGAAACACAUUCAAUUUGUAAUGAAUAUUAUUUAACUUUAUUUUUUUAUUUUUGAUGUUUAAUAAAAUUUUAUUUGCAUAAUAGUUUUUUUUACUAUUAAUUUACAUAUUUUUAUAUUAUUUAUUCUAAAUAAUUUUUUAAAAAACAAAUUUAAAAAACCCCACCAACAGAAUUCAUCCGUCGGCAUUUUACAGAAAGUUGAAAGAUAUUUACUAAAAAAGGCCACAAUCACUGAUGUCUUCACAGACGGAUAGUGUCCGUUGGCAUUUUACUUAGAAUCAAAAAAUAUUUACUGGAAAUACUAUAUUCACUGAUAUUUUCACAGACAGAUUUAUUUCGUUGGUAAAUACCGAGAGUUCAAACAAUGACUUGCAUUGACGAGUGUAAUAAUCUGGAACCACUCGCAAUAAAUAAAGCCACAAAAGGCAGACGAGAGUGUCUAUAUAUAUACAUAUAGGAACUGCUGAUUCGUGGUGCUUUCUCCUGCAAAUGAAUAGAAGACGAGUGUGUCUAUAUAUAUACAAAUAGGAACUGCUGAUUCGUGGUGCUUUCUCCUGCAAAUGAAUAGAAAGCAUAUCCUUUUAUCCUAUAUAAAGAAUACAAUUAACCUCAUUUCAAUAUCCUUGCUUUACUCUUCAGCUAACUUCUCUCUCCCAUUGCUGAAAUUUCAUAGCUAACUCUUUGUUAUAUAGAGGUAUAUAUGGCUAACUCUUCUUUGCUUCUUUCGUGUUUUAAUUUCAUGUCUUUACCAUUAACAAUAAUGUGAAAGCUUUGUUUGUUUCAUGUUUAACUUCAGUUGCUAUUGUCUUAUGCUCUCUCAUUAUUAAGCUUAAACUGUUGUAUCAUCUUCGAUGAUCUUGACAUGUAUCUCUUACUUGUAUUAGCAAGAGAGUAGAUACCUUCUGCAAUUGCUCCAUUGCUAAUUGACUGUGCCUUGAUUUCUGCAGCUGCCAUGACAGAGCCGGAGUCUUCUCGAUCUAUAUCACUAGGGGCCUAUGAUGUCUUCUUGAGUUUUAGAGGAGAAGACACUCGCAAGACAUUUACAGAUCAUCUCUAUACUGCCUUGGUCCAAGCAGGAAUCCACACUUUUCGAGAUGAUGAUGAACUUCCGAGGGGAGAAGAAAUCUCCGAUCAUCUCCUCAGGGCAGUUCAAGAAUCGAAGAUAUCCAUAGUUGUCUUCUCAAAAGGAUAUGCUUCUUCUAGAUGGUGUCUCAAUGAACUUGUAGAGAUUCUGAAGUGCAAAAAUAGGAAAACCGGUCAGAUUGUUCUUCCUAUAUUCUAUGACAUUGAUCCUUCAGAUGUGAGAAAACAGAAUGGCAGUUUUGCAGAAGCAUUUGUUAAACAUGAAGAGCGUUCUGAAGAGAAGUUGGUGAAGGAGUGGAGAAAAGCUCUUGAGGAGGCUGGAAAUCUAUCUGGACGGAAUCUCAAUGAUAUGGCAAAUGGGUAUGCCUUUUUCCCAAAUUUAUGGAGUCAAUAUACUUUACAUUUUUCAAUGUGAAACAAUAAAAUGCUUAAUUGACUCGCUAUCAAUGACUGCCUUUUGUCUAUGAGCAGGCAUGAAGCAAAAUUUAUCAAAGAGAUUAUCAAGGAUGUGUUGAAUAAAUUAGAUCCCAAGUACUUGUAUGUUCCUGAGCACCUAGUAGGUAUGGAUCGGCUUGCUCACAAUAUUUUUGACUUUCUAAGUACUGCAACCGAUGAUGUACGCAUUGUGGGCAUACAUGGGAUGCCAGGAAUCGGAAAGACAACUAUAGCAAAAGUUGUAUUUAAUCAACUCUGCUAUGGAUUCGAGGGAAGCUGUUUUCUUUCGAAUAUCAAUGAAACACCAAAAAAACUUACAGGUCUUGUUCGUUUACAAACGCAACUUCUUCGUGAUAUUUUAAAACAAGAUGUUGCAAACUUCGAAUGUGUUGAUAGAGGAAAGGUUCUGAUCAACGAACGAAUUCGUCGCAAAAGAGUUCUUUUUGUUGCUGAUGAUGUGGCUCGUCAGGACCAGCUAAAUGCUUUGAUGGGAGAGCGAAGUUGGUUCGGUCCGGGAAGUAGAGUAAUUAUUACAACAAGAGAUUCAAAUCUUCUUCGUAAAGCGGAUCAAACAUAUCAAAUUGAAGAAUUGACACGAGAUCAGUCCCUUCAGCUUUUCAGCUGGCAUGCCUUUAAGCACUCCAAGCCAGCAGAAGAUUAUAUUGAGCUUUCGAAGGAUGUAGUUGAUUACUGUGGAGGACUUCCUUUGGCUCUUGAGGUUAUGGGUGCUUGUCUGUACGGGAAAAACAGAGGUGGUUGGAAAUCUGUAAUUGACAAAUUGAGAAGAAUUCCAAACCACGAUAUUCAAGGAAAGCUUAGAAUAAGUUAUGACUCACUGGACGGUGAAGAACUACGAAAUGCAUUCCUUGAUAUCGCUUGCUUCUUUAUUGAUAGAAAGAAAAGGUACGUCGCAAAAGUGCUAGGAGCCCGUUGCGGUUACAAUCCAGAAGUUGAUUUGGAAACUCUCCGUGGAAGGUCUCUGAUUAAAGUUAAUGCCAUUGGAAAGAUAACCAUGCAUGAUCUAUUACGAGACAUGGGAAGGGAGGUUGUUCGUGAAACGUCUCCAAAAGAACCUGGAAAGAGGACCAGAAUUUGGAACCAAGAGGAUGCAUGGAAUGUACUUGAGCAGCAGAAGGUACGUAAGAGCGCAAUGCAUACAUGAAAGCAUAGUCAUGCGUAUUUUCUAGUCAAACUUAUUACAAAUAAUUGUAUGAAAGUUGGAUUGAUUUUUUUUUAGGGUACGGAUGUUGUAGAGGGUCUUGCACUGGAUGUAAGAGCAUCAGAAGCUAAAUCACUGAGCACAAGAUCAUUUGCAAAAAUGAAACGCUUAAAUUUACUCCAAAUCAAUGGAGCACAUCUCACCGGAUCCUUCAAACUGCUUUCUAAAGAGUUGAUGUGGAUUUGUUGGCUUCAAUGUCCUUUGAAAUAUUUUUCAUCUGAUUUUACCUUGGAUAAUCUGGCUGUUCUUGAUAUGCAAUACAGUAACCUCAAAGAACUAUGGAAGGGACAAAAGGUGUGAAACAUUCUACAAUCCCCAAAAUUUCUCCAGUAUGUAAUUUAUAUUUACAUGUUAUGACUUUCUAUGAUUAAUUUUCAUUAUUUUGCCCUCUAUUAAGACAGAUUCUCAACAGGUUAAAAAUCCUCAAUCUCAAUCAUUCUAAGAACCUUAUUAAAACACCAAACUUGCACAGUUCAAGUCUAGAGAAACUAAAGUUGAAAGGUUGCUCGAGUUUAGUUGAGGUGCAUCAAUCAAUUGAAAAUUUGACAAGCCUUGUUUUCUUGAAUCUGGAGGGAUGUUGGAAUCUGAAGAUUCUUCCUGAAAGCAUUGGCAAUGUAAAGUCUCUUGAAACUUUGAAUAUUUCUGGGUGUUCACAACUUGAGAAAUUGCCAGAAUGCAUGGGUGAUAUGGAAUCCUUAACCGAGCUGCUAGCAGAUGGGAUUGAAAAUGAGCAAUUUCUCACUUCAAUUGGACAAUUAAAGCAUGUCAGAAGGUUAUCGUUGUGUGGAUACAGUUCGGCUCCACCAAGUUCUUCUUUGAAUUCAGCAGGUGUUUUGAAUUGGAAACAGUGGCUGCCAACAUCUUUUGGAUGGAGAUUAGUGAAUCAUCUUGAGCUUUCUAAUGGUGGUUUGUCUGAUCGCACAACUAACUGUGUUGAUUUCAGUGGUUUGUCCGCUCUAGAAGUAUUGGAUCUAACAAGAAACAAAUUCUCUAGCCUGCCUUCUGGGAUCGGCUUCCUUCCCAAGCUAAGGCGGUUGUUUGUUCUGGCAUGCGAAUAUCUUGUAUCAAUCCUAGAUCUUCCCUCAAGUUUAGAUUGUUUGGUUGCAUCUCAUUGCAAAUCAUUGAAAAGAGUAAGAAUACCAAUCGAGCAAAAAAAAGAUCUAUAUAUAGAACUACAUGAAAGUCAUUCGUUAGAAGAGAUUCAGGGCAUCGAAGGUCGAAGUAAUAGUUUCUGGUAUAUUUGUUCUAAUCAGUUCAGUCAUUCACCAAAGAAAUUACAGAAAAGCGUUGUUGAGGUACUAUUUCUUUCAGUCUCUUUUGCACACGAAGAAACACACAAUUGGUACAUACAUUGAUUAAUGUCUAAAAUCUCAGCAUUUCUUGAAAUCAAUAUGUAUACAGGCAAUAAUCAUCAUUAUUAUUAUUUUAUUUUAAAAAAUAAAUAUGUUUAAUAAUAUUUUUUAUUUUUCUUAUUUAAUCUAAAAAAUUAAAUAUUAUCUUUAAUAAUAUGUUUUUAUUAAAUAUUUAAAGUCUGAUUGGUUUUAUUUUUUAAUUAUUUCUUGAUUUUAUGAUAAUAUACAGGUAAUGUGCAACGGUCGUCACCCGUAUCGUAUUUCCCCCAUUCGUGGUGAGAUGCCAAAUUGGAUGAGCUGCAGUGGAGAAGGAUGUUCAUUGUCAUUCCAUAUACCUUCAGUCUUCCAAGGCUUAGUUGUUUGGUUUAUCUGUCCACUUGAACCCGUGACAAUUGAAUUCGAUUCUCGCAUUAUUAUUAUUAUAAGAAAUAAAAGCAAUGGUAUUCAAUUGUUUGAAGAUAAACGAACACCAGGAACUGACAUGUUUUUUAUUGAGGGAUUCAUAAGAUACAUAAGUAUAAGUGAAAUGGGAAUGGAAGAUUACUGUGGAGAUGACGAAUUGGAACUCUGCAUUUAUUCAGAGCCAACAGAGCAUGCGGUGCGCCGUCUUCCAUUCUACCCCGUACACAUUAAAGAAUGUGGGGCCCAUGUGAUCGCAAAGAAGUUAAAUUCAUUUGAAGAGUCGGCAAUGGGAAGAGCUACAGUGAUGCCUUCACCAUCGCUGUAUCAUCUGCUUCCUCAUCCCCAUUGUGGUUCAAUUACAGCAUCUACACCUAAGCAAUGGAGUAAUUAUUUAUUUGCGAAGCUGCAAGAAUAUAACCUCAGUUUAACAUUUCAUGGUAAGAACAAAUAUUUCCUUUAGUUAUUUUUAUUCUAUUAUAUUUAAUUUAUGAGAUUAAAUAUUAUCUUUAAUUAUUUCAUUAUUAUUAUUUAAUCUAAAACAUUAAAUAUCAUCUUUAAUUAAAAAAUAUAUAUAUAUUUAAGGCUUUUUGGUAAGAAUACAUAUUUCCUUUAGUUAUUUCUAUUUAAUUUAAGAGAUUAAAUAUCAUCUUUAAUUGUUACAAUAUUUUUCUUAUUUAAUCUAAAAUUUUAAAUAUUUUCUUUAACAAUAUUUUUUAUUAAAUAUUUAGAGUCUACUUGGUUUUAUUUUUUUUCUUGAUUUUAUGAUAAUAUUUUUCUUAUUUAGUAUAAAAAAUAAAUAUUAUCUUUAAUAAUUAGAUCUAUCGAAUAUCACUUAAAAAAUAAAUUAUAACUUUAAUAAUUAUUUUUUGAAAAACAAAAAGCCAACAAUCACUAACAUAUUUUAUUAAAAUCACUUUAGUUUAUUUAGAAAAUAUUGAAAAUUGAUUAUUUUUUUUACAUUAAAAUAAAAAAAUUAAAAAAUGUUUUUAUAUUUUAUUUCAAAGUCGAUAUUUUAAAACAAAAAUGAAAAAGAUGUGAUAUUAACCUUUUUUAUUAUAAAGUAAGUUUUUUAAUUAAAAGUGAUGAGAAUUUGUUCGUAAUAACAAAAUGCAUGUUUAAUUUUCUUUUCAAACUUGGAAUAUAUUUCUAUUGAAUUUGAUGGUUUUUUUAUCUUAAAACACUUGCCAGCAAUCUUGUUUUUUCAAUGCUGCCAUUUAGCAAGUGGAGUACUGUAGCUUUUCCACAUACAUUGAAUAAUAACAGUUUGAAUAAAUAACAAGAAAAUAGAAAUUAGUUUUAUUAAUUUGAACGGUACAUCAUUCAUCGAAUAAAUUACAAAAAAGUAUUAUUGAGAUACUAUUUUUUUCAGUUUCUAUUGCACCAAAAUAAACACAUAUAUUUGUCACAUAUAUUAAUUAAUAUCAAAAAUCUCUGUAUUCCUUGAAAUCAAUAUGUAUACAAGUAAUAAUCAUUAUUAUUUUAUUUUAUUUUAAAAAAUAAAUAUCAUAUUAAAUAAUAUUUUUUAUUUUUCUUAUUUAAUUUAAAAAAUUAAAUAUUAUCUUUAAUAAUAUUUUUUAUUAAAUAUUUAAAGUCUGAUUGGUUUUAUUCUUUAUUUCUUGAUUUUAUGAUAAUAUAUUUAUACAGGCAAUGUGCAACGGUCGUCACCCGUAACGUAUUGCUUCAUUUCGUGGUGAGAUGCCAAAUUGGAUGAGCUACGGUGGAGAAGGAUGCUCCUUGUCAUUCCAUAUACCUCCAGUCUUCCAAGGCUUAGUUGUUUGGUUUGUCUAUCCACUUGAGAAGGAUUGUCAUAACCUAUUUUUAGGUUAUUUUUCAAUAUAUAUAUUUUUUUUUCUUCAAAAAAAUUACAAAAAAAAUCUAAAAAUAUUAUAAAAAAUAUAACAGUAAAAAGAGGAUGUCAGAACGCUCAGAAAAUAGUUAAAAUUUGGUUGAGGAGGUUUAAAAAUAUAAAAAUUAAAAUUUGGUAGUAUUUUAUUAACUGAUGAUAGCCCUGUUGACAAAGAAAAUUCAAUUUGAGAAAAAAAAAGUCUAAAAUCAGAUGUUGAGGGACUCAAUUAAAUUAUAUUGAAAGUUUAAUUGAAUUUAUGGAGGGUUUGAUUGUAAGAAAAAUUGAUUUUGGAGUUAAUUUGGGCUUUAAUUGGAAGAAAUUAAAGUUCUGGGGUCAGAUUAUAUUUUUUUUUAGAGUUGAUUUGGUCAAAUUGGGGGCUUAAUUGCAUAAAUAUUAAAGUUUGAUGGCCAAUCGGGGACUUAAUUGAAGAAAUCUGAGACCAAGGACCAAAAUGCAAAACGCGCGCAAAUUGAAGGAUUGAAUUGAAAUCUAGCGCUUUGGCUCCAAUUUUCAUUUAAAUGAAACAGUGCGUUUUAAGCAAAACGACGUCGUUUCAUGCACUUUCCAAAAAAAAAAAAGAGGACGAAACGGUGCCGUUUUGAGGCGGCACUGUUUCUUCUUCUUCUUCCCCUGGACAUGCAGCAGGGGAAGAGGCGUUUUUGUUUUCUUCUCUUUGUUUCUUCCUCUCCCUCCCCAUGUGCUCUGUUACAACCAAAACCGGUCGCCACUUGCCUCAUGAUGAGAUGCCAAAGCAGUCGUGCCCCGCAAGCGACGCCUCCAUUGGCCACCUCUGUCGGCGCCGUGACAGAGCAGGAGACGUGCGACGCAUGCAUGGGCAACGAUGGGACGGGGCAGGGUCGACCCCGCUCCCCUUGCCCCUAUAAAUAGUGACCCGAAAGGAGAAAAAAAGGAACACGGGAGAAAACAGGGAGGGAAACCGAGAGAGAGAAAUCGAUAGUGUUGAGAGAGAAAUGACUGAAACAGUAGAAACCAAAAAAACCGGGGAUAUCGAUAGGGAGACCGAGAGAGACAGACGGGGAGAAGGAAGAAAAAGGACAAAAGAGGUAAACCGAUGGGGAAGAAGACACUGACUGGUGUCUCUACACAGCGGAGAAGAAGCGCCGCUGCUGGCAUUGGGCUUCACAGUCACCGCCACCGCAACACCACCGAGAACGUUCACCAGCAUCACCGUCAGCUCAGCCAUCCGAGAUCACCACCUCAGGUAAAUUCUCUUCCCCUCACGCCGAUAAUUAUUCAUCUUCUUGCUUGUAGAACGUGCACUGUGCACGUUCUGCAUGCAAGAAGAAAUAAUUAGUCGGUUACCGUGCAUGCGCACAGUAACCGGCUAAUUAAUUAACUAGUUACUGUGCUCAUGCAUAGUAACUAGUCAUUGGUUUCUUCUUCUGCGAGUUGGAACAUCAGCCCAGCCCACGCGACUGGGCUGAGUCCAACCCCCUUUUUUUUAUGCGGGCUGGAACAUCAGCCCAGCCCACGCGGCUGGGCUGAGUCCAGCCCUGUUAACUGCGGCCUGGAACAUCAACCCAGCCCAUGCAGCUGGGCUGAGUCCAGCCUUGUUGCUGGGCCAAUACAGGCCCAACCCAGUUCAUUUCAUUUUUUCUUUUUUCCUUUUUGUUUUGUGUUUUAUAUAUAUAUAUUGUGAUUUUCCCACGGAUUUUUCUACGUCAUUUUAACUAAUAUUGGUCUAUAUUUUUUACUCGGUUUUCAAAAAAAAAAACUUUUGCUUUCAUGCAUACGGCCAAGUCUCUCAAAGCUAAAAAAUCAUAUUGUAUUUUUAUACAACAAAGAAAACUAAAAAAAUAUAUAUUAUUUUAGCAUGCAUUUUAGCUUUAAUAACCAGUUUAUUAAAGUCAUGAUAACUUGGCCAAUAUUUCAAAAAAUCAAAAAAAAUAUUUUGUUUUGUUUUAAUGUCUGGGAUUACGAAUUUAUACGUAAAACGUAUUCCCGAUAUUAAAAAGGUAGUUCUUUUAUAGACAUUAGGCCGGUUAGAUUUUUACCCCAUAAGAUAAGAACCUCCUUACUGAGGAGGGCUUUUCUUGAACCCUAGACAGACCAACAUGAUAAGACCUUAGAUUUUUUAUUAGACAAUAAAACAAUGCAGCUUACCUUAGGUAGGGUGUAUUUGAGGUGCUAAUACCUUCCCUUUGCGCAACCAGUCUCCGUACCCGAUCUCUAAGACCAGUUAGGGUUCCUAGUGAUCAGAAUACUAGGUGGCGACUCUCAUUCCAUUUUUUCACCGCUAAGAGACAAAGAAUUCCUUGUUUUACCAUAUUUUCCAGAAUAGAUAGACAUACCACAUUUGAUGAUGAGGGUGGUGGAUGAUCGCCGCACACGUGCGAUAGAAUGGUGACUCCACUGGGGACCCAUCAAAUCAAUCAACAGAAAAAAAAAUCACCAAGCCGAUGCCGCGCGGGUGACAUGCGACAAGGAUGAUCAUUAUUACUCACGGUCUGGCACUAUUAUUAUUAUUAUUAUUAUUAUUAUUAUUAUAAGAAAUAAAAGCAAUGGUAUUCAAUUGAUUAAAGAUAAACGAAUAGUAGGACCUUUCCUACCAAAAACUGCGGGAUGGAUAAGAUACAUAAGUAGAAGUGAAAUGGAAAAUGGAAGAUUACUGUGGAGAUGACGAAUUGGAACUAUACGUAUAUUCAGAGCCAAGAGGAGAUACAGUGCGCAUCAUUAAAAAAUGUGGGGUUCAUGUGAUCGCAGGGAAGUUAGAUUCAUUUGAAGAGUCGGAAGUGGAAAGAGAUAUAAUGAUGCCUUCACCACCGUUGUAUCAUCUGCUUCCUCAUCUCCAUUGUGGUUCAAUUACAGCGUCUACACCUAAGCAAUGGAGUGACUAUUUAUUUGCGAAGCUGAGUAAAUAUAACCUCAGUUGAACGCUUCAUGGUAAGAACAAAUAUUUCAUUUAGUUAUUUCUAUUUUAUUCUAUUUAAUUUAAGAGAUUAAAUAUUACCUUUAAUUAUUUCAUUAUUAUUAUUUAAUCUAAGAAAUUAAAUAUCAUCUUUAAUAAAAAAAAUUAUUAAAUAUUUAAGGCUUUUUGCUAAGAAUACAUGUUUCCUUCAGUUAUUUCUAUUUUAUUCUAUUUAAUUUAAGAUAUUAAAUAUAAUCUUUAAUUAUUUUAUUUUUCUUAUUUAAUUAAUCUAAAAAAUUAAAUAUGUUCUUUAAUAAUAUUUUUUAAAAAAUAUUUAGAGUCUGAUUGGUUUUAUUUUUUAUUUCUUGAUUUUAUAAUAAUAUUUUUCUUAUUUAAUUUAAAAAAUAAAUAUUAUCUUUAAUAAUUAGAUCUAUCAAAUAUCACGUAAUUAAUUAUAUCAUUAUUUUAUUGGUAGCAACUUAGGAGUCUUUUAAGCCAAAAGAAUAAUAGCUAGGAAGAGCUAAAAUUAGCAAGGAAUAUUUAGAGUCUGUUUGAUUUUAUUGUUUUUCUUUGAUUUCUUAAUAAAAAAAAUCAAAUUCUUGAAAACAAAAAUUGAAAACUUAUACGUUUUGAUUUUGAUUUUAUUUUUGAAAAUGAAAAGCCACCAAUCAAUAGCAUAAUCUAUUAAAAUCACUUUGUUUUAUUUAGAAAAUAUUGAAAACUGAUUUUUUUUACAUUAAAAUAAAAAAUUGAACAAUAUUUUUAUAUUUUAUUUCAAAUUUGAUAUUUUAAAACAAAAAUGAAAACGAUGUGAUAUUAACCUUUUUUUUAUUAUAAAGUAAGUUUCUUAAUUAAAAGUGAAGGUGAUUUGUUUGUAAUAACAAAAUGCAUAUACAAUCAUGCAAAAGUUGUAUUUAAUCAACUCUGCUAUUGAAUUUAAUGGUUUUUUAGGGAACAAAUGAUAUGGAUGAAUGUGAGAGCACAAGAUCAUUUUACAAAGAGAUUGAUUGGUACUUAAAAAUAUAUUUUUAUUAAGGUUUUAUAUCAUCAUAUUGCAUUUAAAGUAUAAUUAAAUUCUCUAAUUUAAGCAUAUUUUAUAAUAACAAGUCUGAUAACAUAAAAUAUAUUUAAUUUAUGGUAAAUGCUCAUUUUGAAUGCAGGCAUAUCUCACAAUUUAAAGGAUUGAUUGAUGUGUUUAACUAUUAAAAGUGAAAAGACAAAAAGAAGGCUAAGCUUAAAGAAGAAAUGUUGGUUCAAUUCAAACUGGAAUAUCAUUAUGUUAUUGAAUCAUAACUAUAGCUAUAGAACAUGGAUUUAGGUUUGGUUUAUAUGGAUGGAAAGCUAAGACAUAGGCCUAAAACUUUCAUGAAGAGUUCAAGAUUCAAAACGGCCCUUUUCAAGUUCAAAUUAUAGCAACAAAAGAGAAGUCGAAAUAUGACUUGUAACCUAGACACUGUUCAGUGUUCAGCCCAUAUCUCGAGUUCUAGAAGUUCAAAUAAUCUCAUUCUUGUUUUGUUGGAAAACUGAGACAAAUGCCCAGAAGUUUCAUGAAGACUAUCUGUUCAAAUUUUGAUGUUAGCAUGUUGUGUUCAGACAAGAAGAUAAUGGUUGUCACCAAGUCAAUAGGUGGCCACCCACUUAAUAAUUAGUCAUUAAAUCAAUAGUUCUGAAUUUUGGACUCUAAAAGAAGGCAUUUGCCAUACAUUUAGACAUCUUGGUGUUCAGAUCAAGAUCUUGCUCUCACUCUCUCUAUUUGUAUUUUGUAAUGUUCAAGUUUUAUUUUAUGUUAUAUUAAUCUCUUAUUUAUGCUUUUCAUUUCUUUUACUAUACUUAGUUAACUUAUAUCAUGUUUAUGUUAUUAUGUUGUUUAUUUAUGUUUUUCUUCUUCAUGAUGUUUAUCUAAGUUAAUUUUGUCAAGGUGAAAAGGGUACACUAAUGGUGUAAGAAUAAGUAUAAUACAAACUCCACAUAGACUUUAAUGUUUAAUACUAACAUGUUUUGUAUUUGUUAUCUUACUCACUCUUUAUACCUUACUUGUUAAAUGGUUAAUCUAAAUUUAUGUUGUACAACCCUUGGCAUAACAAAUACUUGACACUUUCAUAACCUACUGUAUGGUAUAAUCAACACUUGUGCUAUGAAAGGAACUUGAUUUAUUGUUAACAUAAAUUAUCAUCAUGAAUACCUGACCACAUUUACAAGUAUUGGCAUUACUCAAAUAAGAUAAUUAAUAUAAUCAUGUAUGUGGUUUCUAGUUGAGUAAUAAAAAGAGUUUAUACUAUACUUAUUUGAAAUACCUCUAACUUUAACAAUUGUUUUAUCCUUGUUUAAUCCUUACAUCAAUAUCACAUUUCAAAAGUUCUCUUCAACUCCUUUUUAAUUGUUGUUUAUAAUUUUAUAUAAUUCAUCUCCCUGUGUUUCAACCCCGGUCUUGCCGGGUUAUUUAUUACUUUGACACUCCUGCACUUGAUAUAAGACAUCAAUCUCUUGAUCGUGUUAGAGAUGCUUGAAGUUACUCUUUAUUGGUAUGGUAGUUGUUUCUAACGAGUUGAUAAGUAUUUGUUAGCUUGAAGAUUAUUUUCCAAACUUGGAAGUUAUAUUGAAUGCUUUUUGAAAUCUUUUCCAUCCGAUUUGAAAUUGGACAACCUAAUUGUUAUUAUCCAUUAUGUAAUUUAUAUUUUCAAGUUUCAACUUUUGAUGAAUAUUGUAUUGAAUGCUCUUUGAAAUCUUUUCCAUCCGAUUUGAAAUUGAAAAACCUAGUUGUUAUUAUCCAUGACGUAAUUUAUAUUUUCAAGUUACAACUUUUGAUGAAUAUUGUUUCCUUUUUUUCUCACUUCUUGGAAGUAUUCUCAAAAAGAUGAAAAUCCUCGAUCUUAGUUAUAAAUAAAUUGGUUUUCUAGGAAGAGAUUAUUAGGUGGGAUAUAUUAUUUGAGUUGGUUCUUCAUCAUUUAAUGUUAUGAUUUAAGAUAAUUGAUGAAAACUACCAAUACACAAGAAUGUUUAGAAAGCAUCUUUAAUUGGUCUAAUAAGUAAAGUCUUGUUAGUUUUGGCCAUAAGCUAUGUAUUAUUGCUUGUUUUUUACUAUUUUUUUACCUUUUUUGUUUUUUGUAUAUACAACUUUUGUUUUUCUUGCGAGUUUCUCAUUAGCUUUAUGGCACUAACAUCAAUUAAUAAUAAAUCUUGGACUAUUAUUAAAUAAAAAAAAACAUAAACAUUGUUAAAACACCAAACUUGCAUAGUUCAAACCUAGAGAAACCCUAUGCCAAUAAUCUAAUUUAAAAAAAUAAUUAAUUUAUCCUUGUAGUCUUAGAAAAUAGUAUUUAAUCCUUAUGUUUUUACAUUUAUCUUUGAUUUAACCUUUUACAUCUAUUUCAUCUUAUUAUUUUGGUUUACUAAGUAAAGUCUUAGAAACCUAUUUAUGGUCUUAAACAACUUAAAAAGGCUCAAAAACCUAAAAUGAACUCAAACCUGAAAAUCUUCAUGCUGAGAGGUCUGUUUCAUCAAGCAAGGAAAAAGAAAAAAAAAACAUAGGUGAAACUUCCCUCAUCAAAUAAAAUCCAAUGACACUAGGAUUGACUAUUUUGGUGGCUAGAAUAGAAGUCAACGAUAACAUUUUCUUUCCACGUCGGAAUCUAGCAAGUUUCUCUCUUCUCUCACAAAAAAAAACUAAAAAAUAAGGAAAAUAAAGUUUGGUAUUAAAAUCAAAUUUCCGACAACUAAAGAGACCAAUCACCUAUUAACUAAAAACAAUUGGGGACCGAACUAAGUUUUUCAUAUGAAAUAUGAAGUUGACAUCUAUUUUCUCCAUGUUUUUUACUUUGGUUAUCUAUCUUUCAAUCCAACCCUUUCUUCAUAAAAAUAGAAGUAACUUUGUAUUAAUUUGGACUAAAAAAGGUACAAUAGUGCAAAAACAAAUUGAGGAUCAAAUUGAGAAUUAAAAAAUAAUUGAUUAUUUUAAUCUAUAAUGAUAUGUGAGAGAGUGCACAUUAUAAAGUGAAGAGAAAAAACUCCACAUGACUUUGAAACACCUUUGAUGGUUGAUUGAAAUUGGUAAGUGAGUUUCCUCACAUGUUGUUUUUUCGGUUUUGAGUCCAAAUAUGGAGAUUUUAUGAUUUAAGGUAUUUUUCAUGAAUGCAACCCUUCAUGUAUUCAAUAACUUAUUUUCUAGUAUAAACUACGUUUGAAAUAAAAUUGAUAAAAGACAUGUGGUACACAAUUAAUGAUGGCAUGUAUAUAAAAAUAAUUAAAUUGAAAAUUUUCAAUUAUCUUUAAAGAUAUCAUGGUUUUAGUCGGUUAAAUUAUAAAAAAAAUAUUUAAUUUUUUGAUAUAAAUAAUAAUAACAAAUUAGAUAAUAGUAACAAGAAAAUAGGAAUUAGUUUGAAUAAAUGGUACCAGUUCCUAUUAUGAUAUAUCUAGAGAAGAAGUUUGAAGAAUAAAAUGAAGUGAAAUAUUCUUAAUAAAAAAAGAAAAACACAAAAAGAAAUAAAAAAAUAUUCUUAAUAAAUAUAAAAGAUGGGUGAAAUUAGAGAACAAGAAAGAGAUAUAGAAUCUCUUUGUAAGAUUUCUAAAAACUUAAUUACAAUUAUAUUAUAAUUUCUUCCCUAAAAUUAUUUAAAAUAUAGUAUUAGAAUUACAUAAUGCUAGGUUUUAAUAUAUAAUUAAAGAGUUUCUCCUUAACCAAAUAUAAAAAUAUUUUAUAAUUCUUUUGAAUGAAUUAUUAACGGAGGGACUGUUUUGGGUCCCUAUUUAGCUGAUUUUAUUUGAAUAUAUUAUUUGACUAGUCCAUUUAUAGGUUUACUCUACUAUUCUUGCCUUACUGGAACCGGAAAAUUCACUCGAAAUUUCUAGUAGUUUACACAGAAAUUUCCUGUGCUAAACUUCAAAGAAUUUCUUUUCUUUUCAUUUUGUAUUUUCUCAUUUUCUUGGCAUGCGCGCAGCUGCAUCAAGGAAAAAACGUUUCAGAUGCGUGUAAUAAAUCCAAUCGAUGAAUGAGAAAGGGACGCAAAAUAAAGAUAAAAGUGGAAUAUUCUCAUUAAUUGGUCAUCAUUUAAACGUUGGACACAGCCAUCUAUAUGUUGUUUAAAGAAUUUAAAUGGUUAGUCAGAAAGGAUUGCUUUUUAAUUAAAAAUAUAUUAAAAUAAUAUUUUUAAUGCCAAGUAUUUGUUCAACCUCAUUAAUGCUAACGAGUGGACCCAGUUGUUGUGGAAACUUUGCUAGGGAUCUGGAGUGUCAUAAUCCAAAAUUAUUCCUUAAAAUUUAUAUUUUUUCAAAAUAAAAAUCAAAAAAAUAAAAUAAAGGCUGGCAACGUGGAGAAAGCAGGCCGGAAAAUCAAGCUGUAAUUUUUGGAGGAAAUUCAAGGCGUAAUUGUACCCCACUAUGCCCCAAAAUAGAGAGAAAAUAUAAAUUCAAGGUCAAAUUAAAUGAUUAUUUGACAAAUUUGCAUAAACAUUAAGUCCGAUGACAUAAUUAAAUUUUUAAUAGGCCAAUUUGAUUUAAUCACGGGCCAAAUUAAAUUUUAAUUAUGUUUAAGAAUUAAUUUGCGUCCAAUUGAAGGAUUUAAUUAAGUGCAAGGACUUAAUUAUACUUUAAAUGGGUCAAAUUAAUUUUAUUUUGGGCUUAAUUGGUGAAAACUUAAGUUUGGGAGCUUAAUUGAGAAGAUUGGAAUUUUAAGAGACCAAAUUUAAUUCUUACCAAGUUAAUUGAUUGAAAUUAGGGGCCCAAUUGCAAGAACAUUGAAGUUUUGGGGUCAAUUGGGGGUUAAAUUGAAGAAAUUGACAGCUAAGGACCACUCUGCAAAAGGCGAAAACAUUUGGGGACUUAAUUGACAACCACCGGGGCAAAAUUGAAGAAAUUGAAAGUAUAAUGGUCAAUUAGAGGUUAAUUUGACAAAAUUCGAGACCAAGGACCAUAUUGCAAUAGGCGCGUAACUUUGGGGUUUCAAUUGAAGUUUAUCAGGGGCUUAAUUGCAUUAAAUCCAAAGUUAAGGGUUAAUUAGGGGUUCAAUUGAAACCAAUUGAAAGAUGGAGGACUAAGAUGAAAAUAUGUUAAAAUCCCUAAUUCAACUCAAAAUGGCGCCGUUUUAUAUUAAAAAAGAGAGAGAGAGAGGGGACCAGACGACGCGUUGUCGGGUCACUGUUCAUUGUCUUCUUCUUUUACCCGAAAGAAACUGCUUGGGAGCCUUAUUUGCAGGUGCAUUUAAUGCUUGAUUUCUCCAUAAAAUUGAACAAAACUUGCACGAAAAGGAUCCCCUGCAAUUCCUCUACAAACCCAUGUGAACUUUUCAGGAUUAAUGACAGCACAGCUACGCCGGAGAUGGCGUGAAGAGGUCAACUCAGGCAGCCUUUUCCUGCAGAUUUGACAACUCAGGGAGGCUACUUUGAGCCAACAGUUGGGAUCCUUCCCAACAGAAUCAAGAGCUAAAAUUUUACCCCAGUGCAAAAGAGAUUACCCUCUUCGACCGCCUAUAAAUAGAGGCUGAUUUGAUGGCCUGAGGGAGGAAAAAAAAUCGGGUCCAAAAUUUGAAAAAAACAAGCUCCCACUGCCCCCGUUUCUGCAAUUUCUCUCUCUCUCUCCGUCGCUUCAACCACCACCAACCUCAUCACCAGCUUCUCCACCACCAGCUCCAUCACAGUAAGCCACCAACCGACCACCGAGAGCCACCGUGAACCUUUCUCUCUCCUCUGCAAACCGGUUUCUUCUUUCUCCCACAGCGACUCCACCGGCCAAAACUCUCCACCAACGCCGCCAUCAGCCUCUUUUCUUCCACGACCAGACCACCGCCAACUUCACGCCAGGCCAGAGACAGCAGCUUCUUCUCCUCCGCAAGGUCGCCUCCCACUUCACUCCGCCGUCUGCGCAAAGUUGCAUGCAGAACAUGAACUUACUGUUCACGUUCUACAAUUAAUUCAUCCCUCACUUGGGCCGGGCCAUAAAUGUUUGGCUGGGUCUGGCCCGGCCUCAAAAGAAAAGGAGAAAGAAAAUAUGUUGGGCCGAUAUCGGCCCAACCUUUUUGGACCGAGAUCGGCCCAACUGUUUCUGGGUUUCUGCUUGGUCCAGUUACUUGGGCCAUCCCGGCCCACCUGUUUUAAUAAUAUUUAAUUAAUAUAUUAUAUUAUAUUAUAUAUUUCCUUUUAAAAAAAACAAAAAAAUCCAAAAAAAAUUUCAAAAAUCAUUUUUAAAAAAUUACGAUUUUCUCAAAUAUUUUUCUACCACUUUUGUAUAAUAUCGGGUUGUAUAUUUACACUGUAAAAUACAAACCUGGUAUUAAAAUACCCGGUUUUCUCCUAAAUAUUUCAAAAACAAAAUUCAAAACAUUUUCAAAGAGAAAAAAAAUAUUUUGUUGCAUACGGCCAAAUCUUAAAAUUUUUCCAAGCAUAUUUUUCAAUAAAAAAACAAAAAUUGCAUCUUUCUCCAGUUUUGAAAAUAAAAAAAAUGGAUAUCAUAACCAGUUUGUGAAUAUCCAUUAGAAUUUGGCCAACAUGUCAAAACCUUUUUCCAAUCUUUUUAGGGUUCAGAUGCAGACUUUAGUAUUUGUGGAGUGUAAAAUUACACGAUAAAGUACACCCUCAGGUAUUAAAGAUACAAGGUGUAAAUAAAUGCGAUGCUAAAAUUCAGACUUUAGAAUGGUUAGGAUUUAACCUGAUAAAGUAAAGACUUUCUCAUGAAGAGAGAUCUGCCUUAAACCUUAAAAAAGACCAACGAAUAGAAACCCGAUUUAGAAAAAAACAAUCAAACAACAAUGUAGCUUACCUUAGGUAGGGUGCACUGGGGGUGAUGCGUCUUCCCCUUGCACAACCAGUCUCUUACCCAGACUCUCGCAGACCAUAGGUUUCUAGUGAUCAUAAUACUAGGUGGCGACUCCUAAACAUUAAUCAUAAUUUUAUAAUUAAAUCCAAAAAACCUUCCCAACACACAACACCUCACACAGGAGGCACGACAAGAAGCCUUUGCCGUCGCCAGACGACGUCGCGCCCCUUGCGACAUGGAGGAAGAAAAAUGAUUGCAUUGCUAAUAAUUUGCAAGAGAGAAUUCUUUUUCUGAAUAGAAAAAACUAUUAUUUUUAAAAUAAAAACAACUAAAUAGAAAAAUUAUUAUUUUUUAAAUAGAAAAACUAGAAAAGCCUUGUAAUAUUGAAUAAAAAAUAAAAUAGAAAAAUUAUUCUUUUAAAGUAGAAAAAAUUAUGACAAUUUAAUAAUACUGAAUAGAAAUAAAUCAAAUUUUUAAACUAAAUAAAAAUAAUAGAGAAAAAUAUUUAUUAUCCUAAACUUUUUUAUAUUAAAAUCUUAAUUUAUAACAUGAACUGAGUCUACAUGCUAAAAUUAGAAGAACAAAAAAAAAAUGUAACAAAAAAAUUCCAUACAACACAAUUAAUGAUGGGAUCAUAUAUUUUGAGACUAAAAUGAGGUUUUCGAAUUACCUUUAAACAUAACAUAACAUGAUUUUAAUAGAUGUACUGUACAUCAUUUGAAUUUAUUAGAAAAAACAUAUAAUGUAAAGUAUGAACCACUUACCAUUAACUAGAUUUUUCAAUUGGAUUUUUUAUUUAAAUGAAAAGGAAAAUUUAUUUUAUUAUGAAAAAUAUUUUUUAUAUAUAUCUAGUAAUAAUAAAUUAAAGGAUAAUAACAAGAAAAUAACAAUUAGAUCGAAUAAAUGGUACCAAUUUCUAUUCUGAUAUAUCUAGCCAAAGAAUAGAAUGAAUCAAAAUAUUCUUAAUAAAAAAAAUAGAAAACACAGAAAGAAAUAAAAAAAUGUUCUUAAUUAAUAUAAAACUAUUAAUUUACAAAAGAAAUUUUCUGGUACUUUAUACUGUAUAUAAUUUGAAAAAUUGUGACUGACCGACUUACUUGCAAAGUAUUUGCAAGAAAGUUAAAGAAUUAGAGUUUUUUAAUAUUCAAAAUUAUAAUUUUAAAUUCUACGAAAAAAAUCAAUUAUUUUUAAAACUGUUUUCAAAAAUAAAACAUCAACUAUUUAUAUAAUAGCUAAAUAAAACAAUUAAAAUAAAUAAAAAAAUAACUAGUAAAAUCAAGUGAAUAAUCCAAAAAUAACAAGAAAAUAGAGAUAUUUCCUAAAUAUGAUUUCAGUUUGUUGUAUUGAUCAAUUUGCUAACAUAAAUAGCAUAAACGAACUUUAUUCUAAUAGUAUGUUUGAUAUUUAAAAAAAAAAAAAACUUAUAGAUAUUAUAUGGGUUGGCAACCCAUUUUUUAUUAAAUUUUAAAUUUUAUUUGUUUAAAAAUAUUUGUUUAUGUUUUUUAAUUAUUUUAAUAUGAUAAUAUCAAAAAUAAAUAAAUAAAAUUUUUCUAAGUUUUACUACUUCUGACUUGCUUUGACUCGAAAUUAGUGGUGCUUUCUCCUGCGAAUGAAUAGAAAGCAUAUCAUAAAGGUGUGUUUGACAUUGUGUUUUGGAAGUAUUUUUUAAAAAAAUAAAUUUUUUUAUUUUUUUUCUUCAAAUUAUUUUUUUUGUUGAUGUUUUCAUAUUAUUUUGAUAUGCUGAUGUCACAAAUAAUUUUUAAAAAAUAAAAAAAUAUAUUAUUUUGAUGUGUUUUGAAAUGAAAAAACUUUAAAAAGCAACCGCUACCACACUCUCAAACUCCUUUGUUUAUUGAGUCUUACUGUGAAACCUCGUUUUGGGAUGAAUUGAUUGUAAGAAUAAGAAAUUAUGUGCAAAUUAUACAAAAUUUAUUAUUCAUCAUCAAGAUUUAUUAUUUAUUAUCACUAUUGAAUAAUGAUUUAUUUUAUAAUAUAAAUUAUGUUUAAAAUAAAAUUGAUAAAAUUAAAAUACAUGAAACGAGGUCGUAUAUUUUGAAACUAAAUUAAAAUUAUUUUCUUUUUCAAUGAUAUCAUUUGUUAGUUUGCAAGUCCACAUGUCACGAGUCUCCACUGCAUGAAAUUUGCAAAAUCAUAUGGCCCAUUGAUAGAAGGUGUGUUGAAGCAAAAUCUGUUUUAUUGAUUAUCAAUAUUGAAUAAUAGCUUAUUUUCUAGUAGAAACUAUGUUUGAAAUAAAAUUGAUAAAAGACAUGAUAUACAAUUAAUAAUAGGAUCGUAUAUAAAAAUAGGAAAUUUCCUGGUAAUAAAGUCCCAACUUUCGUAGGCGAGCACUAAAGUCCCAAACUUCAAGAAUUUCUCUUCUUUUCCUUUUGUAUCUUCUCAUUUUCUUGGCAUGCGCGCAGCUGCCUCGAGGAAAAAACGUUUCAGAUUCGGAAAAUAAAGAUAAAUGUGGAAAAAAAAAAUCCCAAAUAAAGAUAUCUUUUCGUCCCUUGGUGUCGUGUGAAUACCAUGUGGAUAUCAUUUCAGAAAAUCAAUUCAACCGUUCUCCAAAGAACACUCAUACUCCAAUAUCAGCAACUACCACGAAAGUUACCACUCUAAAUUCCAGCUCAAUAAUUAAGGUUCCAAGAUAAGCCUAAAAAAUAUUUAUUAGGCUUAUCUUAAAGCCUAAUAAAUAUCUAAAAAAAAACAAAAAAACAAAAUUCCACCCUAGGCUGUGAUUAACAGAUUAUCUGAUGGAAACAUGAUGAGCUUUUUUUUAGUGAAUUAAGUUCAAUUAAAAAAAAAUUAAGGUUAAAUUGAUGAUUAAUAAUGAAUUUUGUAUACUUUGCACAGGAUUUUCUUAUUCUCGUCAAUUAAUCUUAAAGCGAGGUUCCAAGAUAAGCCUAAAAAAUAUUUAUUAUUGAUCAACAAUAUUGAAUAAUGGCUUAUUUUCUAGUAUAAAUUAUGUUUGAAAUAAAAUUGAUCAUAAGAGUAGAUGAUAUACAAUUAAUGAUGAAAUCGUAUAUUUUGAGACUAAAUUAAGAUUUUUCAAUUAUCUUUAAAUAUUAUGGUUUUAAUAGGUGGACAAUGCAUUCUUUGAAUUUAUUACAAGUAAUGUGUAAUUUAAAUUAUAAAAAAAUAUUUAUUUUUCUGAUAUACAUGAUAAUAAUAAAUUUGAUGAUAGCAACAAGAAAAUAGAAAUUAGUUUGAAUUAGUACGUUUCUCAUUAACAUUAAUGAUGGAAUCAAAAUCUUUGUUAGCGGUCACCUGUUCGACCUCAGUAAUGUUAACGCGUGGACCCAGCUGUUGUAGAAACUUUGCAAAGGAUCUCGAGGAAGAAAAAUGAUUGCAGUGUAAGACUUAAUUACCGAUUCUAUGAUGGGGAAUAAAUAUGUUUAUAACAGAAUUGUAAGUUAUAAUAUGUAAAAUUUAAUUAACGAUUCUAUUAUACGAAAUAAAUAUGUUUAUAACGUAAUCGUAAGCCUUAAUAAUAAGAAAUCAAUAUCUCCAUCUAUUAAUGUUCCUCAUGUAUUUAUUAUUCUUUUUUAUAUAUAUUUGAUACUUUCAAACUCUACUCACUUUAUAUAGAUUGUGUAAAACUUAAGAGAACUCAGUAAGUGAGUAUAGAGAUCAAAUAACAUUAUUUAUAGCCAAAGCUUCCCUCAAGCUUUAAUGGCUAUAUGUCCCACAUAUUUAUUAUAUCAUGGGUAGUUACAAGUGAAUCACUUUAAGAGCUUAUAAAUGUAAAUGUUACAACUUUAAAAUGAACGAUUUUAAGAGUUUAUAAAUAUAAAUAUUAUAAUUUUUAGAGUGGAUCACUUUUAGUGUGAAGGAGAGUUAGAGAAUCGAUUAUAAUGACUCUGUAAAAAACAGUCAACAUGCAUUGCUAAUAAUUUGCAACGGAGAAUUCUUUAUUGAGAUUUAUUGUUAAACCUCGCUUUGGAAUGAAUUGAUCACGAGAAUAAAAAAUAAUCACUACAUACACCCUUUAACUAUUUUACUUGAAAGUUUCGAUUAUUUCCUAAGCUCCUUUGUUCAUUUUCUUUUUUAUUACCCCUUCAUGCACGACACUUUAUGCCACUUCAUGAUACCCUUGUUUUCAACGUUUUACACUACUUUAAAAGCGUGUUUGGUAGUGUGGUUGCGGGUGCUUUUCAAAUAACUUUUCGUGUCAAAAUACAUGCCAAUGAUAUUUUUUUUAUUUUUUAAAAAUUAUUUUUGACAUCAGCACAUCAAAACGAUCCAAAACAUAUAAACCUUAUUAAAUUUUAAUUUAAAAAAUAUUCAAUUUUUUUGGGAACGCAGCCGCAUCCGCGUUCACAAACGAGUCCUCAAGUCAAUUGUUAGAUACUAAAAACAGCAAGAACUGUACUCAAUCAGCAACCACUGUGAAAUUACCACUCAAAAUCCCAUGAAUAUAUAUAAAAAAGAAUUUUGUCUAGAAAAAUUCUAUCAAAUUCUCUACUUUAUUACUCUUCAAUGUUUUACACUGCUUUAGUUCUAAAAAAACUCCUAGAUGUUAUAAAGCAAGAUAUAUACAACUAUAUAUAUAUAUAUAUAUAUAUAUAUAUAUAUGAAAGUGUAAUAAAUAUUAUAUUUUAAAGUAUUUUUUAAAUAUAUUAAAAUAAUAUUUUUUUAAAAAUAAUUUUGAUAUUAGUAUAUUAGAAUAAUAAAAAAAUAAUUUAAAACAAUAAAAAAUAUUGAAAUUUUUAAAAAAUAUGAUUUGACUGAACUCCAAAACACACGCAUGCUCCCUCAGCAGCCACCACGAAAUUACCACUCUAAAUUCCAGCUCAAUAAUUUAUUCUUUAGCAAUUAUUGCUUGCUCUUUGACAAGUACUGCUUUGCUAAUAAUUUGCAAGAAACUUUCUCAAUUUCCUUCUAUUUUCUUUUUAUCAUGGAAACUUUAAGUCACAUACCACUAAAUUACCGAUAAUUAAAUUUCAAUGUGUAAUUGUGUAGGUUUCAAUUAAAAAUGUUUUAAUUUGAGAAAAUUUGUUAAAAAAAUAGUAUAAAUUAUAUUUUAGAGUUUAUUUUAAUAGUUUAAAUUUUUAGAUGAAUAGUUUUCUAACAAAUAAAGACAUAGUUUUACGAUAAAAUGCAUUUUUUAAAAUGAAAUUAUAUUAAAUUAAGCAUGGUCGAGAUUAUUCAAAUUAUUAAUUAAUUAUAAUUAACUUUAUGUCUUUAGAGGAAACAAAAGGAAAGGACAAAAUGAUUAAUUAAAUUUUUAGAUGAAUUAAUAAAUCUUUACAAAUAAAAGAUAUAGUUUUUCAUUUUUUGAAAUGAAAUUAUAUUAAAUUAAGCAUGCUCGACAUUGUUCAAAUUAUUAAUUAAUUAUAAUUAACUUUAUGUCUUCAGAGUAAACAAAAGGGAAGGACAAAAUUAUCUUCCCCACAACGAUAAACCUAGCCCCCUUUCCAAACCAAUCCUCUAGUAAAUAGAAUGAUGGUCCCAUAAAUUGCUUUAUUCUUUCCAGCCCGCCAAGUAGUUUGGUCUCCCUCACAGGACCUCCUUAGCAUGGGAAUCAUAUGAAUUUCCUUGCUUUUCUUCCUCUACGCGUUACCUUUCACCUUUUAUAAUUAUUAUUAUUGCAUUGCUAAUAAUUUGCAAGAAAGAUUAUGAACAUUUUUUUUAGUGAAAUAAGCUCAUUUCAAAUUAACAAAAUAUAGUUUGUUGAGGCUUGUCUUGAAACCUCACUUUGGAUUAAUUGACAGGAAUAAUAAAAUUUUAUUCAAAUUAUAUAAAAUAUUAGGUGUGGAUGUGCCCUUGCCCAACAAGCUACCAUGACCUUAUCUAGAGUUGGGUGUUAACGAGACAAGCCCUUGUCCAACUCAGAGUUCGGCAUAGAUAUAUCAUGACCCAACAUAAAGUUUGGAUGCGGAAAAAAUAUAAUUUCAUUUUGAAUUAUGAUUUUUGUUGGAUAGUCUUUAAAUAAAUUUUUUUUUUAGAAAAUCAUGACCCAUAUCUGGUUAUCGGAAAAACAAUUAUGGUUGAUUUAGCCUCAUCUUCUCUGCUUGUAAAAUUGGGGCAGAUUAUGGACUUAACCGAGCAAUUACCGCUCAAAAUUCCUAGCAAUUUACAAAGGAAUUUUCCUUGCUUUUUCUCAGUAUAUUAUUAGAAAAACCGUCAUUGACUGAUUUAAUUGUAAAGUCUUUGCAAGAAAGUAAAAAAAUUAGUUUUUUAAAAUAAAAAAUAUAGAGAGAGAAAUAAAAAAUAAAAAAUAAAAAAAGGAGCGAAAGGAAACAACCGCCAUCUUUCUUGUUCCUUUUCCCUUCUUUACACGGCGUCCUCGAUGAAAAUAGCAAACACCCCAUUUGAAUAUAUAAUUAAAGAAAGAAAGAAAGAGAGGAAAAUUCCUUCCUCAAUACUUACCGCUACACGCUUCAGAAAUUCCUUGCUUUUUUUUUUUUUUUUUUCAUCUCUACUUACGUGUUACCUUUUACCUUUUAUAAUUAUGAUUAUUGCAUUGCUAAUAAUUUCCUUGCAUUUCUUUAAUAUAUAAUUAAAGAAAGAAAGAUGUUGAACACUUUUUUAGUGAAUUCAAAAUAACAAAAUAAGGUUGUUGAGGCUUUUCUUGGAACCUAGCUCAGGGAUUAAAUUAUAAAAAAAUAUAUUUAUUUUUCUGAUUAUAUAGCAAUAACAAAUUAAAUAAUAGCAACAAGUAAAUAGGAAUUAGUUUGAAUAAAUGGUACCAGUUCCUAUUAUAAUAUAUCUAGAGAAGAAGUUCGAAGAAUAGAAUGAAGUCAAAUAUCCUUACAUAAUGCUAGGUUUUAAUAUAUAAUUAAAAAGUUUUCCAUGAACCAAAUAAUAAAAAUAUUGUACAACUUUUUUGAAUGAAUUAUUAACAUAGAGGCUUAUUUGAUUUGAAUAUAUUAUUUGAUUAGUCCAUUUAUAGGUUGUCUCUAUUAUUCCUGCCUUGCAUUGCCAGGAAAUUUCACUAGAAAUUUCUAGUAAUUUAAACAGGAAAUUUGCUGGUGAUAAACCUGGAAUAUGAUUUUCAACUUUCGUAGGCGAGCACUGAAGUCCCAAACUUCAAGAAUUUCUUUUCUUUUCCUUUUGUAUCUUCUCAUUUUCUUUCUAGGAAUGUUAUGAGAAGCAGCAGAGUCAAGAGGCCAUUUUUGAUCCUGUGGACCGGAAGUAGUUGCAUAGUUAGUCGUAACCUCUGAUCAAUGGAGUCGUGGGUAAGACUUGGCUAAAUGGCCUAUCUGAUCAGGAAAUUGGCAUUUCGGUUGAUAAUGCAUUUGAGUGGUACCGAUUGGUUGAAGACUUGCAGUUGUCUUUGAAUGGACCGACCUUGAGGGAUUUUAUUGUGGCCUGGAGACCGAGAAGAUCCAUUAGUCUUAUUUGAACCCUUCGGGUGAGACCCACCAUAUGAACUAUUUAAGUUCUGUUUGUGAAGAUAAGAAUAAUUGGCAGAGGCCACAAGCUGCUGAGUUGAAGAUUCCAAACGCCGCAGGUAACUGUCAUGCCCCUCAAGAAUAUCUUGAAGCUCUUCAAAUUAUCCCAAUAGUUCUUAUAUUAAAAUCUCAUUUAUCAUAUGUUACAUCUAUCAAAAAAAAAAAAAUAAUUUGUGACGUGAACUAAAGCUAUAUGUGAAAACUAGAAAUAACAAAUGUAUGAAAAAAAAAUCAGCUGUGAUUAACAGAUUAACGAUGGAAAUUAAGAUGAUGAAUAUUUUUUUGUAAAUUAAUUUCAAUUUAAAAUAACUACAAAGAAGUUAAUUAGGAUUCCUUCCUUGAAAUUAUUAAAAAUAUAGUAUUAGAAUUAUAGAAUGCUAGGUUUUAAUAUAUAAUUUUUAAUAUUAAUUGUUAAAGAGUCUCUCUCGAACCAAAUAAUAAAGAUAUUAUAUAACUCUUUUGUAUGAAUUGUAAAUCUAGGGAUAGUUUUGGGUUUUCCAAUCACAACUUUGGACUAAAAUUAAUAACAAAAUAAAGACCAAAGAUAACGGUAUGUAAAUCUAGGGACCAAAAAUAAUACAACUGCAUUUACUGUAGAUUUCACUUAGAAUUUCUAGUAAAUUACAAAGGAAAUUUCUUGUGCUUUUUAACGUACAUGAAUUGAAAAACUACCAUUGACUGACUUGCAUUGACUGACUUGCUAAGCAUUUGCUGCUCGAAAUUUUCUCCCUAAAAAUUUUCAAGCAAUUUACGGAGCAAAUUUCCUUAUGCUCUCUCUUGUAUAUUAUUAGAAAAAUUGUUUUUAAAAAUCAAUUUUUUUUUAUUUUCCUGAGAUUCUAUUUUUUAGUCGAGUCAAUUUCAAGUUGGGUUCAAUAAUUAUGAUUAAAUUUACUGAAAAAAAAAUAAUUUUAUGUCACUUCAUGAUACCCAUGUUUUCAACGCUUUACACUGCUUUAAUAAAUUGUUACAGUAAUAGCACAGAGAGGAGCGGUUCCAGAAAAAACAAUAAUGGAGAUGAAGCAAAAUCUGUGUUUGAUUUUUUCUUUUUUGUGUUUUCGGUACAUUGGUCAACAAUAGCUUGGAAGAGUUUGGAAUCAGUAACACGUGGACCCAGUUGUUGUGGAAACUUUGCAGAGGAUCUUCACUCUGCAGGAAGAAAAAUGAUUUUAAUAGAUGUACUGUACAUCAUUUGAAUUUAUUAAAAGUAACGUGUAAUGUAAAGUAUGAUUCACUUACCAUUAACUAGUUGGACAAAAAAACUAAACUUUCUCAAUUUCCUUCUAUUUUCUUUUUAUCAUGGAAACUUUAAGUCACAUCUGCGCCUACCACGAAAUUACCGAUAAGUAAAUUUCAAUGCGUAAUUGUGUAGGUUUCAAUUAAAAAUGCUUUAAUUUGAAAAAUUAUGUUAACAAUAAUAUAAAUUAAUUUUUCUUCAAAAUAAAAAGUAAUUGGGUAUUAAUUUAGGCUAUAAAGAUAAAAUAAUAAUAAUAAAAAAGAGUUCGAGGGUAUUCAUUUUAUUAUUUGUUAUGUAACUAUAUAAUCUAAUUUGUUGAUGUGGAAAAUAGCACAAAGUUUUUGACAUGGAUAUUGGUGAGAAGCAAAAGCAGUAUCCACUAUGAGAGCUUUUGUAAACGCGUGGACCCAGUUGUUGUGGAAACUUUGCAAAGGAUCUGCAGGAAGAAAAAUGAAAUUUGCAAAGUAUUUGUGUGUAUUAUAUAAUUGUGUUAAUUUAAGGAUUAUUUUUUAGUUGUAUUAAUUUAGAAAAUAUUUUGUCUCACCGGAAAACUCUAAUUACGUUCGUAUAUUUGUUUUUGGUAACAGAUGCAAUAUGCUUUUUAAUUCAAGAUAUAUUAAAAUAAUAAUUUUUAAAAAAAAAUUAUUUUUUUUAUUUUAGUAUAUUAAAAAUAAAAAAUUUAAAAAUAGUAAUUUAAUAUUUUCUUAAAAAUAUAUUUAAAAAACACUUUUAAUUUUGUUUUUCAACUGUACUAUUCCUUGAAAAAACUCAAACUCUAAAUAAUAUCUUCUACUACAUACUUUCUAAGACUAAAAAUUAAUCUAAAUGUUUUUGAAAAGUAGUUCAACCAAAGUACCAAAUAUGUUUAUAUACUCCAUCUUCAACCACUGUAAAAUUACCACUCUAAAUUACAACUCGGUAUCGAUUACCUUUUAUCUUUGACAAUUAUUGCAUUGCUAAUAAUUUGCAAGAAAAAAUACAUUCUCAAUUUCCUUCUAUUUUUUUUUUAACAUGAAAAACUUUAAGUCACUCAAUCUGCAACCACCAUGAAAUUACCGGUCCGAAUUCCAGCUCAAUAUUUACCGGUACGACACGCUUGAGGAAUUUCCUUGCUUUUCUUCCUCUACGCGUUACCUUUCACCUUUUAUAAUUAUUAUUAUUGCAUUGCUAAUAAUUUGCAAGAAAGAUUAUGAACAUUUUUUUAGUGAAAUAAGCUCAUUUCAAAUUAACAAAAUAUAGUUUGUUGAGGCUCGUCUUGGAACCUCGCUUUGGAUUAAUUGACAGGAAUAGUAAAAUUUUAUUCAAAUUAUAUAAAAUAUUGGGUGCUGAUGUGCCUUUAUCCAACUUAGAAUUGCGACAAGCUACCAUGACCUUAUCUAGAGUUGGGUGUUAAUGAGACGAGUCCUUGCCCAACUCAGAGUUUGGCAUGGAUAUAUCAUGACCCAACAUAAAGUUUGGAUGCAGAAAAAAUAUGACUUUAUUUUGAAUUAUGAUUUUUGUUGGAUGGUCUCUAAAUAAAUUUUUUUUAUAGAAAAUCAUGACCCAUAUCUGGGUAUCGGAAAAACAAUUAUGGUUGAUUUAGCCUCAUCUUCUCUGCUUGUAAAAUUGGGGCAGAUUAUGGACUUAACCGAGCAAUUACCGCUCGAAAUUCCUAGCAAUUUACAAAGGAAUUUUCCUUGUUUUUUCUCAGUUCAUUAUUAGAAAAACUGUCAUUGACUGAUUUAAUUGUAAAGUCUUUGCAAGAAAGCUAAAAAAAUUAGAGUUUUUUAAAAUAAGAAAUAUAGAGAGAAAAAUAAAAAAUAAAAAUAAAAAAAGGAGCAAAAGGAAACAACCCCCAUCUUUCUUGUUCCUUUUCCCUUCUUUACAUGGCGUCCUCGAUGAAAAUAGCAAACACCCCAUUUGAAUAUAUAAUUAAAGAAAGAAAGAAAGAGAGGAAAAUUCCUUCCUCAAUACUUACCAGUACUACACGCUUGAGAAAUUCCUUUCUUGUUACCUUUUACCUUUUAUAAUUAUGAUUAUUGCAUUGCUAAUAAUUUCCUUGCAUUUCUUUAAUAUAUAAUUAAAGAAAGAAAGAUGUUGAACACUUUUUUAGUGAAUUCAAAAUAACAAAAUAAGGUUGUUGAGGCUUUUCUUGGAACCUCGCUCAGGGAUUAAUUAACAAGAAUAAAAAAAUCCCCUGCAAAUUAAACAAAAUUUAUUAUUAAUCAUUGAUAUUUAUUAUUGAUCAUCAAUAUUGAAUAAUGGCUUAUUUUCUAGCAUAAAUAAAAUUGUUAAAAAACAUGAUUACACAAUUAAUGAUGAGAUCGGUUAUAAAAAUGACUAAAUUGAGGUUUUUCAAUUACCUUUAAACGUAUCAUGGUUUUAAUAGGUGGACAGUACAUCCUAUUAUGUAAAUUAUAAAAAAUUAUAUUUAUUUUUCUGAUAUAUAUAGCAAUAACAAAUUAAAUAAUAGCAACAAGUAAAUAGGAAUUAGUUUGAAUAAAUGAUACCAGUUCCUAUUAUUAUAUAUCUGGAGAAGAAGUUCGAACAAUAGAAUGAAGUCAAAUAUCUUUACAUAAUGCAAGGUUUUAAUAUAUAAUUAAAAAGUUUUCCAUGAACCAAAUAAUAAAAAUAUUGUAUAACUUUUUUGAAUGAAUUAUUAACGUAGAGGCUUAUUUGAUUUGAAUAUAUUAUUUGAUUAGUCUAUUUAUAGGUUGACUCUACUAUUCCUGCCUUGCAUUGCCAGGAAAUUUCACUAGAAAUUUCUAGUAAACGAAAUUUGCUGGUGAUAAACCUGGAAUAUGAUUUUCAACUUUCGUAGGCGAGCACUAAAGUCCCAAACUUCAAGAAUUUCUUUUCUUUUCCUUUUGUAUCUUCUCAUUUUCUUGGCAUGCGCGCAGCUGCCUCGAGGAAAAAACGUUUCAGAUGCGGAAAAUAAAGAUGAAAGUGGAAAAUAGAAGCGGGGAAAAAAAUCCCAAAUAUCGACAAACAUCACAAGAGAAGCUUGAUAUCUCUUCGUCCCUUGGUAUCGUGUGAAUGUGGAUAUUAUUUCAGAAUAUCAAUUCAACCGUACUCCAAAGAACACUCAUACUCCAAUAUCAGCAACCACCACGAAAGUUACCACUCUAAAUUCCAGCUCAAUAAUUUAUUCUUUGACAAUUUUACUUCUAAAAAAAAUGAAUUUUUUUUUAUAAUUAUACGCCAUCAGCAACUACCAUUACGACUCCAAAUUCCAGCUCAAUAUCGAUCAACACGUGGCUAAAGAAUUUGUUUCCUUUUUUUUCCUGCACGUGUUACCUUUUUAUCUUUUAUAAUUAUAAGUAUUGCGUUGCUAAUAAUUUGCAAGAAAUAAUAUUCUUUCUCUAAAAAGGGCUUGAGAAAACCCUAAGCAUAGUAUAUAGUCUCUUAUAGGAAUCUCUUUAUUAAAUCAUCAAAAUAUCAAAGUCUGUUUCCAAAGACUAUGACUACAGUUUAUAUAUAGAAACAACCAAAUAUAAAAAUUAUUUUUUAAAAAUAGAAAAAACAGAAGAGCUUGAUAAUAUUUAAUUAAAAAAUAAAAUAGAAAAAUUAUUCCUUUUUAAGUAGGAAAAAAAAAUAUAAAGAUUUAAUAAUACUGAAUAAGAAAAAUUAAAAUAUUCUUUCUCUGAAAAGGGCUUAAGAAAACCCUAAGCAUUGUAGAUAAUCUCUUAUAUGAAUCUCAUCAAAAUAUCAUAGUAUAUUUCCAAAUACUAUUACGUACUACAUUUAUAUAUAUAUAUAUAUAUAUAUAUAUAGAGAGAGAGAGAAAGAGAGAGAGAGAUAGAGAGAGAAACAACUAAGUAGGUAAAGCUUAUGUUUCUUUGUUCUUGUUCCUUUAUAUAUAUACAUUCUCAAUUUCAUAAAAAAAAUUAAUUAGUCCUUGAAAUCUUAAAAAAUAGUAUUUAAUCCUUAUGUUAUUAUAUUCAUCUCUAAUUUAAUUUUUUUCAUCCAUUCAUCUUUUUAUUUAUUUAAUAGCUUAAGUUUUUAGUUAAAAGAUAAAUAGUUUUACUAUUAAAAGCAUUUUUUCGAAAUAAAAAUAAUAUUAAAUUAGGCAUCCUCAACAUUGUUCAAAUUAUUAAUUAAUUAUAAUUAACUUGAGGUUUAGAAGAAACAAAAGGGAAGGACAAAAUUAUCUUCCCCACAACCAUAGACCUAACCCCUUUCCAGACCAGUCCCCUGGUAAAUGGAAUAAUGGUCCCAUAAACAGCUUUUUUUCUUUCCAGCCCGCCAAGCAGACUAAGGCCUGUUUGUUUCUGUGUUUUAAAAGUGUUUUUGAUAAAAUUUAAAAUUUUUUUGUUUUUUUUAUUAACUUCAAAUUAAUAUGUUUUUAGUGUUUUUAAAUCAUUUUGAUGUGCUGAUGUCAAAAAUAAUUUUUAAAAAAUAAAAAAACAUCAUUAGCAUGUAUUUUGACACGAAAAACUAUUUGAAAAGCAACCGCAACCACACUACCAAACACACUCUAAGCAGUUCGGUCUUCCUCGCUGGACCACCUUAGCAUGAGAAUCACACUAGUUGGAAGUAUCUUUAAACCUCAUAAAAAUGAAUAACUGAUAAUAAUAUAAUUGGGAUUUAAAAAAAAUUCAUAAAAAAAUUUCUUAAAAAAAUCCAAAAAAUUAAACCGGACAAAAAUAAACAACCAAUAAUAAUAUAGUUAAAAUGAUAAAAAAGUGUUUAAAAAGCAAUUUGAAACCAAUUAAUCUUAAAAAAAAAAAACCAAAAAGAAACAUGCGAUGAAAACCAAUUCAUGAAAAAGUAAUUGGAUAUUAAUUUAGACUAAAAGGAUGAAAUAAUAAAAACAAAAGGAGAGUUUGAGGGUAUUCAUUGUUCAAAGGAACGCAAAAAUGCAUUCCAAGUAUGAAGUGUUUUAUUGUUAUAAAGUUUUUCAAACUUACAAUAUGGAGAGAGAAAUAAAUAAAAAGAAAAAAUAGCAAAAGGAAACAGCCCCCAUCUUUCUUGUUCCCUUUCCCACGGCCUACUCAAUGAAAAAGCAAACACCCCAUUGGAUUUCCCACGGCCGCCCACGAAAUCCCUUUAUCCUCUGCUGUUAAUUUUUUAAUGACGCAUAUCAGGUGUUUGAUAAAAUUCCUUAGCUGGGAAAGGAAAAAAAACCAUGUUAAGAAUGCUUUAGUCCUUUUCGAGUGGAAAGUGGUGUGAAAGUGAGAAGUACUGUGAGAGCUUUAUACCACUUUCUAUCUUAGACGUAAUGGCUUUGGCAAAAAGAAACCAAUAAAAGUUAGUGUUCGCACUGCUUUAGUCCAAGAGUCUUUCAUGGUUGCAUUGAUUGACUGGAAAAAAUCUCAAAGUUUUUAGAAAGAAACAGCCUUCAUUGCUUUUCGAAACCAAUCUCAGUAAUGUUAACGCGUGGACCCAGUUAUUGUGGAAACUUUGCAAAGGACCUCGAGGAAGAAAAAUGAUUGCAUUGCUAAUAAUUUGCAAGAGAGAAUUCUUUCACUGAAUAGAAAAAAGUAUUAUUUUUAAAAUAACAACAAGUAAAUUUAAAAAUUAGUAUUUUUUAAAUAAAAAACUAAAAAUUCCUGAUAAUAUUGAAUAAAAAAUAAAAUAUAAAAAUUAUUCUUUUUAAGUAUAAAAAAAUAUAAAAGUUUAAUAAUACGGAAUAGAAAUAAAUAAAAAUUCUAAACUAAAUAAAAAUAUUUUCUAUCCCAAAAAUUCUUAUAUCAAAAUCUCAUUUAUCAUAUUUUAUAUCUAUAAAAAACUAAUUUGUCAUGUGGAAUAAGUCUAUAUGCUAAAAUCAGAAAAAAAAUGUUACAAAAACAAAUUCCACAAAAGGCUGUGAUUAAAAAGAUGAUAGAUAUUUUUUAGUAAAUUAAUUUCAAUUCAAAAUAACAAAAUAAGGUUUAUUGAGGCUUACCGUUAAACCUUGCUUUGGGAUGAAUUGAUCACGAGAAUAAGAAAUCAUGUGCAAAUUAUACAAGAUUUAUUAUUAAUCAUCAAGAUUUAUUAUUUAUUAUCAAUAUUGAAUAAUGAUUUAUUUUAUAAUAUAAAUUAUGUUUAAAAUAAAAUUGAUAAAAUUAAAAUACAUGAAACGAGGUUGUAUAUUUUGAAACUAAAUUAAAAUCAUUUUCUUUUUCUAUUAUAUCCUUCAAAAUUAUUUAUUUUAUAAAAAACAAAACUUGUUAGUUUGCAAGUACACAUGUCAUGAGUCUCCACUGCAUCACUUUUGCAAAAUCAUAUGGCCCACUGUAUAUUUUGAAACUUGUUGAAGCAAAAUCUGUUUUAUUGAUCAUCAUCAAUAUUGAAGAAUGAUUUAUUUUCUAGUAUAAACUAUGUUUGAAAUAAAAUUGAUAAAAGACAUGACAUAUACAAUUAAUGAUGGGAUGGUAUCUAAAAAUGAUUAAAUUGGCAUUUUUCAAUUACCUUUAAACAUGCAUAUCAUGAUUUUAAUUGGUGGACAAUACUGUUAAAUAAUAUAUUUAUUUUGUUUUAUUUAUUAAGAUUAAAAUAAUAUUUUUAGCUUAAUCUAUAUAUAAACUCUUUAUAUUUAGAUUAAGCAAAAAUAAUAAUAUAUAUCAGAAUUCUAGUCUCAUUCCUUUUCGUAUUUAUUUUUAUGUUAAUUAAAUUGUUUUAACAAUACAUCAUGUAAAUUAUAUAAAAAUAUAUUUAUUUUUCUGAUAUAUAAAUACCUCUCUGUCCCAUUGCUGCCAUUUCAUAGCUAACUCUUUGUUAUAUUUAACUUCCUCUUCUUUGCUUCUUGCUCAUAACGAUAACUUGAAAGCCUUACGUUCAGAUAGAUAAUCAUUGACUAGCUCAUCCUAUAUCAUUCUAUUCAAUUUAUAUAUGCAGAAAGAAAAACGCAAGCAAUCCAAAGAUGAAGAAAACGCUUCAUCCUCGCGAAAGAGAAGAAAAGCUGACCUCAGUAAGCCUAUAUAAAGAAUACAAUUAACCUCAUUUCAACAUCAUAGUUAACCUCAUUUCAAUAUCAUAGCUUUGGAAUUUCAUAGCUAACUCUUUGUUAUAUUGCUCCAUUGGUAAUUGAUUGUGCCUUGAUUUCUGCAGCUGCCAUGACAGAGCCAGAGUCUUCUCGAUCUAUACCAGAAGGGGCCUAUGAUGUCUUCUUGAGUUUUAGAGGAGAAGAUACUCGCAAGACGUUUACUGAUCAUCUAUAUGCUGCCUUAGAUCAAGCAGGAAUCCACACUUUUCGAGAUGAUGAUGAACUUCCUAGAGGAGAAGAAAUCUCCGAGCAUCUUCUCAAGGCAAUUCGAGAAUCAAAGAUAUCCAUAGUUGUCUUCUCAAAAGGAUAUGCUUCUUCUAGAUGGUGUCUCAAUGAACUUGUAGAGAUUCUUAAGUGCAAAAGGAAGAAAACCGGUCAGAUUGUUCUUCCUAUAUUCUAUGACAUUGAUCCUUCAGAUGUGAGAAAACAGACUGGCAGUUUUGCAGAGGCAUUUGAUAAGCAUGAAGAGCGUUUUGAAGAGAAGUUGGUGAAGGAGUGGAGAAAAGCUCUUGAGGAUGCCGGAAACCUAUCUGGAUGGAGUCUCAAUGAUAUGGCAAAUGGGUAUGCCUUUUUUCCAAAUUUAUGGAGUCAAUAUACUUUACAUUUUUUAAUGUGAAACAAUAAAAUACUUAAUUGACUCGCUAUCAAUGACUUGCUUUUGUCUAUGAGCAGGCAUGAAGCAAAAUUUAUCAAAGAGAUUAUCAAGGAUGUGUUGAAUAAAUUAGAUUCCAAGUACUUCUAUGUUCCUGAGCACCUAGUAGGUAUGGAUCGGCUUUCUCGCAAUAUUUUUGACUUUGUAAGUACUGCAACAGAUGAUGUACGCAUNNNNNNNNNNNNNNNNNNNNNNNNNNNNNNNNNNNNNNNNNNNNNNNNNNNNNNNNNNNNNNNNNNNNNNNNNNNNNNNNNNNNNNNNNNNNNNNNNNNNNNNNNNNNNNNNNNNNNNNNNNNNNNNNNNNNNNNNNNNNNNNNNNNNNNNNNNNNNNNNNNNNNNNNNNNNNNNNNNNNNNNNNNNNNNNNNNNNNNNGAUGAUAGAGGAAAAGUUCUGAUCAAAGAACGACUUCGUCGCAAAAGAGUUCUUGUUGUUGCUGAUGAUGUGGCUUAUCUGGACCAGCUAAAUGCUUUGAUGGGAGAGCGAAGUUGGUUUGGUCCCGGAAGUAGAGUAAUUAUUACAACAAGAGAUUCAAAUCUUCUUCGUGAAGCAGAUCAAACAUAUCGGAUCAAAGAGCGACUUUGUCGCAAAAGAAUCUUGUUGUUGCUGAUGAUGUGGCUCAUCAGGAGCAGCUAAAUGCAUUGAUGGGAGAUCGAAGAUGGUUUGGUCCCGGAAGUAGAGUAAUUAUUACAACAAGAGACUCAGAUCUUCUUCGUGACGCAGAUAAAACAUGUCAGAUCGAAGAAUUGAAACUAGAUGAGUCCCUUCAGCUUUUCAGCAGGCAUGCCUUUAAGGACACCAAGCCAGCAGAAGAUUACAUUGAGCUUUCGAAGAAAGCCGUUGGUUACUGUGGAGGACUUCCUUUAGCUCUCAAGGUUAUAGGAGCUCUUCUGUACGGGAAAGAAAAAGAUAGAUGGGAAAGUGAAAUUGACGACUUGAGCAGAAUUCCAAACCAAGAUAUUCAAAGAAAGCUUCUAAUAAGUUAUGACGCACUUGAUGGUGAACUACAAAGAGCAUUCCUUGAUAUUGCAUGCUUCUUUGUUGGUAUAGAGAAAGAAUACGUCGCACAAGUGCUAGGAGCCCGUUGCCGUCGCAAUCCAGAAGUUGUUUUGGAAACUCUCCGUGAAAGGUCUCUGAUUCAAUUUCAUGAGUGUAUAAUUGAAGAUGAAAGGCAGUUAUCUGGAAGGACGGUAGCCAUGCAUGAUCUAUUACGAGACAUGGGAAGGGAGGUCGUUUGUAAAGAGUCUCCCUUGCAUCCUGAAGCAAGGACCAGAAUUUGGAAUAAAGACGAUGCAUGGAAUGUACUUGAGCAGCACAAGGUAAGUAAGAGCUCAAUGCAUACACGAAAGCAUAGUCAUGCGUAUUUUCUAGUCAAGCUUAUUACAAAUAAUUGAAUGAAAGUUGUAUUGAUUUUUUUUUUAGGGUACGGAUAAAGUUGAGGGUCUUGCACUGGAUGUCAGAGCAUCAGAAACUAAAUCACUUAGCGCAGGAUCAUUUGCAGAAAUGAAAUGUUUAAAUUUACUCAAAAUCAACGGAGCACAUCUCACCGGAUCCUUCAAAUUGCUUUCUAAAGAGUUGAUGUGGAUUUGUUGGCAUGAAUUUCCUUUGAAAUAUUUUCCAUCUUAUUUUACUUUGGACAAUCUAGCUGUUCUUGAUAUGCCGUACAGUAACCUCAAAGAACUAUGGAAGGGAAAAAAGGUGCGAAACAUGCUACAAUCCCUAAAAUUUCUCCAGUAUGUAAUUUAUAUUUACAUGUUAUGACUUUCUAUGAUUAAUUUUCAUUAUUUUUCUCUCUAUUAUAACAGAUUCUCGACAAGCUUAAAAUUCUUAAUCUCAGUCAUUCUCAGCACCUUAUUAAAACACCAGACUUGCACAGUUCAAGUCUAGAGAAACUAAUUCUGGAAGGUUGCUCGAGUUUAGUUGAGGUGCAUCAAUCAAUUGAAAAUUUGACGAGCCUUGUUUUCUUAAAUCUGAAGGGAUGUUGGAGUCUGAAGACUCUCCCUGAAAGCAUUGACAAUGUAAAAUCUCUUGAAACUCUGAAUAUUUCUGGGUGUUCACAAGUUGAGAAAUUGCCGGAACGCAUGGGUGAUAUGGAAUUCUUAACCGAGCUGCUAGCUGAUGGGAUUGAAAAUGAGCAAUUUCUCUCUUCAAUUGGACAAUUAAAGCAUUGCAGAAGGUUAUCAUUGUGUGGAGACAGUUCGACGCCACCAAGUUCUUCUUUGAUUUCAACAGGUGUUUUGAAUUGGAAACGUUGGCUGCCAGCAUCUUUCAUUGAAUGGAUAUCAGUGAAACAUCUUGAGCUUUCUAAUAGUGGUUUGUCUGAUCGCGCAACUAACUGUGUUGAUUUCAGUGGUUUGUCCGCUCUAGAAAAAUUGACUCUAGAUGGAAACAAAUUCUCUAGCCUGCCUUCUGGGAUCGGCUUCCUUUCCGAGCUAAGGGAGUUGUCUGUUAAGGGAUGCAAAUAUCUUGUAUCAAUCCCAGAUCUUCCCUCAAGUUUAAAGAGUGUGUUUGCAUGUGAUUGCAAAUCAUUGAAAAGAGUAAGAAUACCAAGCGAGCCAAAAAAAAGACUAUUUAUAAAGCUAGAUGAAAGUCAUUCGUUAGAAGAGUUUCAGGGCAUUGAAGAUCUAAGUAAUUGUUUCUGGUAUAUUCGUGUUGAUGACCGCAGGCAUUCAACAAGUAAAUUACUGGAGCGUUGUUGAGGUACUAUUUCUUUCCGUCUCUCUUUCGCACAAAAAGAAACACACACAAUUGACACAUACAUUGAUUAAUGUCUAAAAUCUCAGCAUUCCUUGAAAUCAAUAUGUAUAUAGGCAAUAAUCAUUAUUAUUAUUAUUAUAUUUAAAAAAACAAAUAUCAUCUUUAAUAAUAUUUUUUUAUUAAAUAUUUAAAGUCUGAUUGGUUUUAUUUUUUAUUUCUUGAUUUUAUGAUAAUAUAUUUAUACAGGCAAUGUGCAACGGUCGUCACGGGUAUUUUAUUCGCCACACUCCUGGUCAGAUGCCAAAUUGGAUGAGCUACAGGGGAGAAGGACGCUCAUUGUCAUUCCAUAUACCUCCAGUCUUCCAAGGCUUAGUUGUUUGGGUUGAUAAGGAUGAUAAGGAUGCUCACAUUAUUAUUAUUAUAAGAAAUAAUAGAAAUGGUAAUCUCUUGUUUCAAUGUACGAAAUGGUAUUAUCAUCCAAAAACUGGAAGUAUAAGAUACAUAAGAAGAAGUGAAAUGGCAAUGGAAGAUUACUGUGCAGAUGACGAAUUGGAACUAUACAUUUAUUCAAAGCCAUCACCGUUGGCAAUGGCAAUGGCAAUGAAGGAUGCUGUGAUGCCUUCAUUUGAACCGUCUACACCUAAGCAAUGUGGGGUCCAUGUGAUCGUAGGAAAGUCAGAUUCAUUUGAAGAGUUGGCAGUGGGAAGAGAUGCAGUGAUGCUUCCUCAUCCUCGUUGUGGUUCGAUUACAGCGUCUACACCUAAGCAAUGGAUUGACUUUUUAUUUGCGAAGCUGCAAAACCAUAACCUCAAUUUAAGGCUUUUUGGUAAGAAUACAUAUUUCCUUUAGUUAUUUCUAUUUUAAUAUUCUAUUUAAUUUAAGAGAUUAAAUAUCAU
rnacentral:lncRNA from 1 species